rnacentral:lncRNA from 1 species
GGUGGUUUCUCUCCCUUGGGAGGUUUACCAAUUGGGGUUGGUGGCUUGUGUUCUGGGAGUGGUUUCUCUCCCUUGGGAGGUUUAGUGGGUGACUUGUGUUCUGGAGGUGGCUUCUCCACCGAAGGCUUGUGCUCCGGUGGUGGCUUUUUGGUUGGAGGGGGCUUGGGGUAAUCAGCAAGAGAUGGGGUGGUGAGAACCACCAGUCCAAGGAACAACACUAGCAAGUAUGUGGGAGACAUUUUUGAGUUUGGGCUGAUCAGAUGAUGCAAAACUAAAGCAUUACGUGACCUUUUAUAGCAAGUAGCUCCCAAUACCUACUUGACACGUGUUACUGUGACCCAUAAAUAUUAUGGGGUCUAUUUGUGCCCUACCGGGUUGAAAACUUGGACAAUUGGGCAAGGACCCGCCUGACUAUGGAGGACUACUGAGGUGUGAUCACAGCUUUAGGAUUUUUCUUCCUCUGCAGCCGUCUUGCCGUUGGCAUGAUUUUCUUAAUCUCAAAUAAAGGCAUAGUUAUAGAGUUGUUUAAUCUCUAAAUGGGAUUUUAUAUAUCUUCAGAUAGCCAUUAAUACAUUUGAUGAAGAAAGAAAGACAAGUGCAUACAACAUGUAUACGACUAGCUUUCAUGGAGUUCAUUUAUGAUCAGUUUUCCUGUACAUGUAAACCAAGAUCAUAUAUGUUUUUGUUCCACAACAAUUUUGGAAUCUUGUUUAUCCGUUUUUAUCAUUAUAAUGUCACAUAGGCUGCCAACUUGGGCGCUAAAUUAAAGAUCCAGUUGGGCAAGUUCGUUUCAGAAUUUCAAUGGUGGAUUCAGGAAUUGUUUUAUAAGAUAUGCAAAAUAGUAGAGGGAUGAAUAGUGUUUCAUUAAGAAAAGAGCCCUGUAAAAAUAUUGUUUAAAGGUGCCAUAGAAACUAUAAUCAAUAAAUAACUUUUUUUCCCCAUGGGUGGUGUUUCUUGUGGGGAUCAGUGACUGGUUUGAGUCAACGCCGUGUCUCUUUAGUCCAGAAAUCAACUAUUUUAUGCAUUGAAUACAUCAACAAAGAAAAUAUGAAAGCCAAAUGACACCUCCCCCGCAAAAACUAAACCCUGGUUGCUAACUUUCUAUGUUUCAGUUCCAUUCACACAAGAAUAUUAGUUCAAGUUUGAGAAAAAUGGCGACUUACCUAGUGAUAACUCGGUCUUGGUUUGCGAUUUGACUUUAACGUCAUGGGUUGAAGCCUCCUACAAUCAUCGUGUAUGCUAGUUCAAAGCUCGUGGAAGAAGUUAUACAGGGAGGGAGAAACCUCCACAGCAAGCUCCAAAAGAGAAUUAUCACAUUGAAAGCUCCAGUUGAACACUGGGUGAAAGCCAUAACAAGAUUGGUUUUCUAUCGCUCUUUUAAGUAAUGGAAGAUUAUUAUCUCUGCUUGUCACUACAACCGUGCAUGCUGCUAGAUCUUUCUAGACACUUCAAACAGUGAAACCAAGUAUGAUUCUUUUUCUCUUGAGUGGGUCCACUUGCAUGCCAAUGAACGAGUUGAAAAGUUGGACAAUUGGCCACAGCGCGCACUUACCUUCUGGAACCGAAGGUCAGUGAAGUGGGGUUCCUUUUGGCCCCUUGUGUUUCUGUUCCAACCUACUCCAGGAACCGAAGUUCAGUGAAGUGGGGCUACUUUUGGCCUCUUGUGUUUCUGUUCCAACCAAACAAAAAUGGGAGGGAAAAAUAGCAUUAUGCUUGUGCUAAAGAUCAACGCAUGAUAGCUGAAUAAGGGAGAAAAAGGCAUUGCUAUCUCAAUUUCAUAAACUUGAUAAGUAGUGACAUUAAUAGUCUUCCUCAUAGAUGGAUACAUGGUUUUAUUUUAUUUAUUUAUUUUUAUUUUUUUGUUUUAUGUCAAUGCUAAUGAAUGAAGUGCAUUAGCUUGUUUUGUGACUAGAACUACAAAUGUCCAAAUUGGAGCUUCUCCAAUAUAUUUCUCAGUGAGUUAUUGAUUAGAACUCUUGGAUUGAGUUCCAAGAUUUGAAUCAGACCCCUCUAGCAGCUUCAGGGGUACGUAGCAACCUAUAGCAUAUUAAUGAAGACUUAGGAUUUAGACUUAGGAAUACAAAUUAAUAUGUACCUCAUGCUCUGACUAGCUUCCCUGCGUAUGCACAAAAUGGAGAUGACUCCCAAAAAAAUAGCAGAAUCGCCUUAGUAUGUUUUUGUGGUUAAGAUGAUUCUCCACUUUAUAUAUCCACAUUGGUUCAUUAUGCAAAUUAAUCAACUAAGCUAUUUUUAUUUUUUCUUAAAUGUGAAAUAGGAGCUCCAAAUUAACCUAACCAUUGGCCUGAUUGAAUUGAUUUCACUUGCAUAAUGUUAUAGUAGAAGUCCGUAAUUUGAAUUUUAUUUUUGCAAAAGGUAACGUAAAUGAAGCAUUGUAAUUAAAUUUAUUUGUAAUUACAAACUAAUUUUAUUUUAUUAAGAAUUAAUUUAAUUACUCAUUUAAAAUAAAAAUCAGUUAUACUUUUACCAAGAUGAUAAUAUUCAUAUUUUUCUAGUUAACAUAUAUAAAAUAGUACACUUUUUCAUAUAAAAAAAUAAUUUAUGAUUUAUUAUAAUGUUACUAUUCACAUUUUACUAAAUUGAUGGUACAUGAUAGUGAGAGAAGGGGGUGUCACACUCAGCUAAAGUUCUUUUCAAAAUAUUGCAUGGUGUUUAAUUUUAUGUGUCGGCGCGCGUGUGAAUGGAACCUGCAAAAGUCCAAAUUGGCGUUUCUCCAUUUUCCACAUAGGAUGGUGACGUUAAUAGACAAAGAUACAAUAUCUGUAGACAUUGCUUAAAAAUCGAUGUGAAGUAUUAGAAAUUACAGGGCACUGUACUGGGGGAGCGGCUGCCCCGCCAAAGGAGGAAGAAUGUAGCAAUUUCUUCUGUUAGCCAGGCCUUAGGAUUUAUGCAUGGGAUGCCUAAUAACAAACAGAGAAAAUAUACUUUUGGGGAAGGUAUCCAACAACAGACACCAUCAUUCAGAUGGUGGGAAGGUAUCCAACAGAUGCCAUCAUUCAGAUGGUAACAUAUAUAUACAUUUAUUAGUGAGUUUUUUUAAUACCUAUAAAAAAAAAUAUACACUUUGAUAUUGUGGCUGAAUCCAUUACAUACUCAACUAACCUUGCUCAUUAGGGAUUUGACUUAACAAGGGCAACGUUGCAGUACAAGCUCAAAACUUUAUGCAGGUGACAUUACAUUUGGUAAAGAAGAGGAAAAUAACGAAAGCCAUCCAUAAAAGCAAAAUUCCACAUGGGAUGAAAUUCACAAGCUUCAUUUACGAUAGAGUCGCAUCCAGGCAAUUAAUUCCACAUUAGACCGCCUGUUGACAUGUGUACCAAUCUUUUUUCAAAAAAUAUUUAUAAAUAAUUGAUACUCACAAAAAUAAUUUAAUAUUUAUAAAGGAUAAAAAAAUAUUUUCAAAUCUAUAACAAUUUAUAAAAUAUUAAUAAAAAAUUAUCUCUUAAACUUAGUAUAGUUUUAUCAGAUUAAACUUUUAUUUUGAACAAAUAAUUUUAAUCUAAGUUUUAAAUUCUAAAAUUAUUUCCUUAAAAUAAAAUUUUAAAAUUCAACACUUCAAUUGAAAUUGUCUUUUUAAAAAAUAUCUUCUUAUUUUAAUCCUUAUAAACUAUAGUUGAUUGAAAAUACUAUUGAAGUUCUCUCUUAAAAAAAAGUCUUAUUUUAAUCUUCAUAAAUUGCCCUUGAUUUGAAAAUAAAUUUUCAGUUAUCAUAUUUUAAAUAAUAUCUAUAUUUAAAAUACUCUAUUUAAAAAAAAAUGAACUAAUUUUAAUUAUAUUAUAUUUUAUUUUUUUAUAUAUUUUUAAUGAUAAACCAAACAUAGAAAAUCAUUUUUCUAAAUAUUUUAAAAUUUCUAAGCAACCAAACAUAAUCUUCAAAAUAAAAGGAAAAUAAGGAGGGACAUUUGAGAAAUGGCGAUUAAAAAAAAGUGUACAAAAGCUCAAUUAAUUUUCUUCUAGUCUUUUAUAUAAAAAAGUAAAGGAAUUGAAAAGUAUUGAUAUGUAAAUUAAUAUUUGGAUUUUAAUAGUAUUUUAUUUGUCUUUCUCUAUCUCAUGUAAAAGAGAAUUUAAGAUAUUUCCUAAAGCAAAGCAUUAGUUAUCUGCAAUCAGUGGUGAUCAUGCCCCAUGUCAAUUUCGGACCCAUAUCUUAAAACUGUAUAAUUUGCAUUCAAACAUUACUGAUUUCUCAGAUGUUUCAUACUCCACAGAAGAGCAUUGUUUGUGAAAGCAUGCAUUUAUGUUGGAUUUUGGAUGAUGUGGGAACUGGGGCAAGGAUCAUAUGGAAGAGUGGUCGAUUUUGUUCUGUACUUUAACAUUUGAAAUAGGAGAAGCUCGGGCAUUUGUGGGGCUUAAUUGAUUUUGAAGCCUGAAAUUGCGUUUCUGUCAUUUUGUAAAAAAUAUGGCAGAUUCCAUGCUCUCAUAUGUUUGGUCUGUGGCCAUGUAUAGAUGCCCCUUAGUGACCAGUUUGUAACUGUCAAUCAUAGUGUUUUGACUCUGGCUCAACAACAUCAGCCAUUGACGGAUUUUCAUACUUGCAAAUCAAAUAGUCUUCUUCCUCCCUUAGGAAUUUCGGUUUAAAUGUUAUUAAGCAUACAUUUGGCUGACAAUUAUUAACCACUUCAUGAUAUGGUUUCUUACCCUUAAUCAAUGGUUUCUAAGUGAAUAUAUGCAGAAGGAAAUCUGAACUGUAGACAGCAGUAUUGAUAACUCUCAAUAUUCUUUAUAUAAGAGAAUAAACAACGUCAUAGUGAUCGUCGCCUACAAGAAAGGUACAUUUCCCAACAAGAUGUAGUUGUGACUGGUACAUGGACGCAAUUAACUCGUACAAAAGAAUAAGACCAGUGCACGGCAGCUCUUAUUUUACAUGCUAAUUAUGCUAACCAAAGUCACUCAGUUGGGAUGGGAGGGAGAUGGAGGUUUGUGCGGUGGCUUGUGGGGCGGAGUUGGUGGCUUCUUUUCAGGAGCUUGUGGCUUUUUCGGAGCUGAAGGAGGCUCAAUCUUAUGAGGCGGCUUGUACGAGUCUUCUUUACUCUCGACAGGAGGGUGGCCAGGGUUGUGACCAUAAUGUGGUGGCUUCUCUCCCUUAGGUGGCUUGCCAACUGGGGUUGGUGGCUUGUGUUCAGGAAGUGGUUUCUCUCCCUUGGGAGGUUUACCAAUUGGGGUUGGUGGCUUGUGUUCUGGGAGUGGUUUCUCUCCCUUGGGAGGUUUAGUGGGUGACUUGUGUUCUGGAGGUGGCUUCUCCACCGGAGGCUUGUGCUCCGGUGGUGGCUUCUCCACCGGAGGCUUGUGCUCCGGUGGUGGCUUCUUGAUUGGAGGGGGCUUGGGGUAAUCAGCAAGAGAUGGGAUGGUGAGAACCACCACUCCAAGGAACAACACUAGCAAGUAUGUGGGAGACAUUUCUGAGUUUGAGCUGAUCAGAUGAUGCAAAACUAGAAGAAUUACGGGACCUUUUAUAGCAAGUAUCUCCCAAUACCCACAUGACACGUGUUACUAUGACCAUAAAUAUUAUAGGGUCCAUUUGUGCCCUACCGGGUUGAAAACUUGGACGCUUGGCCGAGGACACACCUGACUAUGGAGGACUAUUGACGUGUGAUCACAGCUUUUGGAUUUUUCUUCCUGUGCAGCUGUCUAGCGGUUGGCAUUAUUUUCUUAAUCUUAAAUAAAGGCAUAGUUAUAGAGUUGUUUAAUCUCUAAAUGGGAUUUUAUAUAUCUUCAGAUAGCCAUUAAUAUAUUUGAUGAAGAAAGACAAGUGCAUACAACAUGUAUACGGCUUGCUUCAAUCGAGUACAUUUAUGAUCAGUUUUCCUGUGCAAGUAAACCAGUUUUUUGUUCCACAACUAUUUUGGAAUCUUGUUUAUCAGUUUCUAUCAUUAUAAUGUCACAUAGGCUGCAAACUUGGGCACCCAAAGAUCUAGGUGGGCAAAUUUGUUUCAGACUUUCAAUGGUGGAUUCAGUAAUUGUUAAAAGGUGUUUCUUCAUUAAGGAAAGAGUCCGGUAAAAAUAUUGUUAAAAGGUGUCAUAGAAACUAUAAUAAAUAAAUAACUUCUUUUCCCCAUGGGUGGUGUUUCUUCUGGGGAUCAGUGACUGGUUAGGGUCACCCAAAAUGAGUCCAGAUUAAAAUUGGUUCGAGUCAAAGCAGUCUCUUUUGUCCAGAAAUCAACUAUUUUGCGCAUUGAAUGAAUCGAUAAAGAAAAAAUGAAAGCCAAAUCACACCUCCCCUGCAAAACCUAAACCCCGGUUGCUAACUUUCUAUGUUUCAGUCCUAUUCAUAUAGGAAUAUUGGUUCAAGUUUGAGAAAAAUGGCAACUUACCUAGGGUUUACUUGGUUUUGGUUUGCGACUAUUUACGCAACCAACCAUGAGUUUGACUUUAACGUCAUGGGUUGAAGCCUCCUACAAUCAUGUAUGAUAGUUCAAAGCUCGUGGAAGAAAUUAUACAGGAAGGAAGAAACCUCCAAAGCUAGCUCCAAAAGAGAAUUAUCACAUCGAUAGCUCCAGAGAUUCCCAAGGGAACUGAAUCAAAGACAAGUUCCUCACUUUUUCUUCUUUUGAGGCCAAAUAUGAACCAAGGAUCACACGACCUCAUUCAACUUCAUAAGUUUGAUUUCAUGCAGUUGAACACUGGGUGAAGGCCAUGACAAGAAUUGAUUAAAAAAUUCUACCACUCUUUUAAGUAAUGGAAGAUUAUUAUCUCUGAUUGGCACCACAACAGCACAUGCUGCUAGAUCUUUCUAGACACUCCAUGCAAUGAAAGCACAAUGGAUCUUGUAAUGAUAGAAACUAAGCCAUGCUACAGUACUAGAUGAGGGGGUAAAACUAGUAGACAUCUUUCUAGACACUCCAUGCAAUGAAAGCACAAUGGAUCUUGUAAUGAUAGAAACUAAGCCAUGCUACAGUACUAGAUGAGGUGGUAAAACUAGUAGACAUGGCUGGCAGUUGAUUACUACUCAAAAAGUACUCUUUUAUAGCUUGAAACUAACUGUUUUAAACACUUUUGAGUAGUAGUUAAUACCUUUUAACUUAAUUGGCACAUUAAGGAACCUAGCAAGGGUUACUAAUCAACAUUUGGCAAGUUUUGAUGUUUUUGGUAGCUAUUUGAUCAUUGAAACAAGCCAAGAAUGAGGGGGAAUUUUGUGAAGUCCAUGGCAAUGCAAGUUAAAGCUCAAAUACAUGAAGAAUCCAAGCUUUGGAGCACUUCAUAGCCCUUUGCCAAGCCAAUCAAAGAUGCAAGGAAGAAAACCAAAGGAAGAAAUCCAACAAUCAGCAUUUUGGCAUGGCUAUGUGAAAUUUCGCACACCAUGCGAAACCACAAGAGGCAGCCAAAGAAUUUCGCAUGGUAUGCGAAAUCUUCUUGUGCACUGACUCUGUUAGAUUUUUAUCUUCAGAUAUUUUGUGUAAUUUCCUAGUUUCUCCUUGUAACCAACUUAGAUAUUUUCUUUUAUAUCUUUUUUUAUAUUUUUUAGGUAACAUCAUAUAUAAGAGGAGAGACAUAAGGAGGAUAUGGAUGUUUUUCAUAGAACACUUGUAAAUUUUUGGUAGUAAGAAAUAUACAAAGCUUUUUGCUCUGCCUUACCUUCUCAAGGGAUGAGUGGCUAGGUUUUCUUGGAGUGAGGGAAGCUAGGUGAAGGACCUGAAUGCAAAGGUGGGAGUUUUCCUUACUUUAAAUGAAAGUAGUUGUUAAACAUUAAUGGUUUUUAUUUUAAGGUUUAGCUUUAAAUCCCUGAAAAACACCUUGAAUGGCCAAUACUUGGUAAGCUUUUUAGAUUCUAUGGAUGCUUAUUGCUAGAUCCAUGGAUGUCUAUUAGUUAUCAUUUACGAGCCAUUGGAAGGUGAUUCAAGGUGAGGGUCUUUAGUGUUUGAAGCCAUUAAUGGGAAGCAAUUACCAUUUUUUCAUGAAUCCUUUGGAUCAAAUCUUAAUUGCUAAAUAUAAAACCGGUUUCGAGAGAUAACCACCAUCCUUUAUGUUAUUAUCCCCAACGCGAGGAGAAGAUCCGAAAUCUUCCUUUUUAUCUAAGGAACCCGAUCCUAGUGACCUAAAGCUCCAAGAUACCUUUUCUUUGUAGUUAACUUCAUUUAUUGUUUUUGCUUAACUUAAAAUCAAUCUUUGCAACCACAAUUCCAUUUUCUUUAAAAGCUAAUUUUUAUAAGGAAAAACACCAUUUUAUUUCCUUCACUAAGUCAACUGUACGAUGAAAACCCAUCCCUGUGGACGAUCCUAGAGCCACUAUACUAUGUUAGCUAUGCUACCCUAGUGUGAGGUGAUUUAGGUUUUAUAAAUUUUUUUGAUAACACCCAUCUGAGCCAGAAUCAAAUGGCACGACUGAACCAGGGACGAAUCAAAUGACGCCGCUACCAAGGAUGGUGCCAAAGUACAUUGACAUGACUUUUGGUGAACACUUGUGAUCUUCACCACAAGUUUGGUGAUUUUUCUUUUACUAAUUUUUUUUAUUUUAGCUUAUCUUUUAUUUAGUUUUUAGUUAACCUUAAAUUUUUCCUAGAAUUGUAUUUCUUUUGUUUUCUUUGUUUUUGUUUCAGUGAUCUUUAGUUGUGCAUGCCCUAUUGGAUAAGAGAUAUUGAGGGAAUACUUGUGAAGAUUGAAACUCCUCGAGAAACUGAGUUAGAAGUGUGCUUGAACAUCAUGGAUGUUCCACCUGAAGACCAGAAUAGCCAACAUGGUUAAGAGGAUAAUUUCAACACAUACCGAUCCAUGAGGAACCGCAUACAUCCACCUUGUAUGAGUGCACCGUCAGGCAUAAUGCCUCCCACUGAGCAGCUAGUAAUCUGACCUCACAUUGUGCCACUCCUACCUACUUUCCAUGGGAUGGAGAGUGAGAAUCCCUACUCGCAUAUUAAGGAAUUCGAGGAGGUUUGUAAUACAUUCCAAGAAGGAGGAGCUUCAAUUGACUUGAUGAGGCUCAAGCUAUUUCCUUUCACUUUGAAGGAUAAGGCCAAGAUUUGGCUUAAUUCUUUAAGGCCAAGAAGUAUCCAAACUUGGAUUGAUUUGUAAGCCGAGUUUCUUAAGAAGUUCUUCCCUACCCAUAGGACCAAUGGUUUGAAAAGGCAAAAUUUGAACUUCUCAGUUAAAGAGAAUGAGAAAUUCUAUGAGUGUUGGGAGAGCUACAUGGAAGCUAUUAACGUUUGUCCUCACCAUGGCUUUGACACAUGGCUCUUAGUGAGCUAUUUUUACAAUGGUAUGUCUUCUUCAAUGAAGCAACUCCUAGAAACUAUGUGUGGAGGAGACUUCAUGAGUAAGAAUCCGGAGGAAGCCAUGGACUUUUUGAGUUAUGUGGCUGAAGUUUCAAGAGGAUGGGAUGAACCAAAUGCUAGAGAGGUGGGAAGAAUGAAGUCUCAACCUAAUGCUAAGGGUGAGAUGUAUGUUUUGAAUGAAGACAUUGACAUGAAAGCAAAGGUUGCAGCUAUGGCAAGGAGAUUGGAAGAGCUAGAAAUGAAGAACAUACAAAAAGUGCAAGCCAUUUCUGAGACAUCAAUGAAAGCUAUGCCUUGUUCCAUUUGUCAAUCUUAUAAGCACCUAGUGGAGGAGUGUCCUACAAUUCCAGCAGUGAGAGAGAUGUUUGGUGAUCAAGCAAAUGUUAUUGAUCAAUUCAAGCCUAAUAACAAUGCUUCAUAUGGCAACACCUACAAUUCAAAUUGGAGGAACCAUUCAAAUUUCUCUUGGAAACGAAAGCCACCUCAAUACACACAACCUACUCAAGCACCUUAGCAAUCCUCGAAUCUUGAACAAGCUAUUGUGAACCUUAGCAAGGUUGUGGGAGACUUUGUGGGAGAUCAGAAGUCCAUCAAUGCUCAACUGAAUCGGAGAAUUGACAGUGUGGAGAGUACAUUGAACAAAAGGAUGGAUGAGAUGUAAAAUGAUCUGUCUCAAAAGAUAGACAAUGUCCAAUACGUAAUCUCAAGGCUUACCAACCUCAACACAGUGUAAGAGAAAGGAAAGUUUCCUUCUCAACCUCAUCAAAAUCCUAAGGGUAUCCAUGAAGUAGAGGCUCAAGAGGGAGAAUCUUCAAAGGUGAGGGAAGUCAAAGUAGUUAUCACCUUGAAGAGUGGUAAAGAGGUUGAUCAACCCACAUCCAAGCCAAAGCAUAAUGAAGAGAGUGUAGCAGAAAAAGAAAAGAGAGGAAAAUAAAGGAAUUAGAAUAGAGAAAAAUACAAAGAAAGAUGACCAUGAGUCUAGUGUGGAUGAAGAGCCCGAGAGGAUGGUGAUCAAGGAAGAUAUGAUGAAGAAACACAUGCCUCCACCUUUCCCCUAAGCUUUGCAUGACAAAAAAAGAACCAAUAAUACAUCAGAAAAUUUUGAAGUAUUGAGGCAAGUGAAGGUCAAUAUCCCUUUGCUAGACAUGAUCAAACAAGUGUCGACAUAUGAAAAAUUCUUGAAGGACUUGUGCACUGUAAAGAGAGGGUUGAAUGUGAACAAGAAAGCUUUAUUGACCGAGCAAGUGAGUUCCAUCAUACAGUGCAAGUCCUAGUGAAGUACAAAGAUCCGGGUUGCCGUACCAUCUCAGUGAGUAUUGGAAGGACUUGUGUGGAGAAAGCUUUGUUGGACUUGGGAGCAAGUGUGAAUUUGCUAUCCUACUCUGUCUAUAAGCAGUUGGGAUUUGGAGAGUUGAAGCCAAUAUCCAUCACUCUAUCUCUAGCGGAUAGAUCAAUGAAGAUUCCAAGAGGGAUGAUCGAAGAUGUCCUGGUUCAAGUUAACAAAUUCUACUAUCCAGUAGAUUUUGUUGUUCUUGAUAUGGAUCCGGUUGUCAAAUGAACUAAUUAUGUUCCUAUCAUACUUGGAAGACCCUUCCUAGCUACAUCAAAUGCAAUCAUCAAUUGUAGGAAUGGAGUCAUGCAACUCACAUUUGUCAACAUGACAUUAGAGCUCAACAUCUUCCAUUUGUACAAGAAGCAUAUCCAUCAGGAGGAAAAAGAAGGUCUAGAGGAAGUGUGAAUGAUUGACACUUUAGUGGAAGAGCAUUGUGAUCGAGAAUGCAAAAAGAUUUAGUUGAGAAUUUUGGGGAUCUUGAUGAAAGGUUACUUGAACCCUCAGAUUUGCUUGCUACCCUACUCCAUUGGAAGAGAAGAGAAGAAAUUCUACCCUUAUUCAAUGAGGAGGAGACGCAAAGAGCUGCAAAGGAGAAACCCCCAAAACUUAUUCUUAAGCCACUACCCACAGAGUUGAAGUAUGUAUACUUGGAAGAAGACAAGAAGUGCCCUAUUGUUAUAUCUUCAACUCUUACCAUUCAUCAGGAGGAUUGUCUACUUGAAGUCCUUAGAAGAUGUAAGAAGACAAUAAGGUGGCUAAUUUCUUAUUUGAAAGGGAUCAGCCCUUUAGUCUGCACCCAUCAUAUUUACAUGGAGGAUGAAGCUAAGCUAAUUCAUCAACCUCAGAGAAGGUUGAACCCUCACAUGCAAGAGGUGGUUCGAGCUGAAGUUCUGAAGCUACUUCAGACCAGUAUUAUUUACCCCAUAUCAAAUAGCCCAUGGGUGAGUCCUACUCAAGUUGCGCCAAAGAAGUCUGGGAUCAUGGUGGUGCAAAAUGAUAAGGGAGAAGAUGUCUCUACACGCCUCACUACAGGUUGGAGGGUGUGUAUCAAUUACAGGAGGUUGAAUGCAGUGAUAAGAAAGGACCAUUUCUCAUUGCCCUUUAUUGAUCAGGUGCUUGAGAGGGUCUCUGGGCUUUUUUUUUUAUUGUUUCUUGGAUGGCUACUCCGGGUACUUUCAGAUAGAAAUUGAUGUUGAAAACCAAGAUAAGACCAUUUUCACAUGCCCAUUUGGAACCUAUGCAUAAAGGAGAAUGCCUUUCGGCUUAUGCAAUGCACCCGCAACUUUCCAAAGAUGCAUGUUAAGCAUUUUCAGUGAUAUGGUGGAGCGUAUUAUGGAAGUCUUUAUGGAUGAUAUCACCAUUUAUGGAAGUGCAUUUGAUGAAUGCUUGGUCAACUUAGAAGCUGUUCUGAACCGAUACAUUGAGAAAGACUUAGUGCUUAACUGGGAGAAGUGCCAUUUCAUGGUACACCAAGGGAUUGUCCUUGGGCACAUUAUCUCCAAGCAAGGCAUUGAAGUUGACAAAGCAAAGGUUGAACUCAUUGUUAAGUUGCCAUCCUCAACAAAUGUCAAAGGAGUAAGGCAAUUCUUUGGCCAUGUCGGGUUCUAUAGGAGGUUUAUCAAGGAUUUCUCUAAGCUUGCAAGGCCUCUUUGUGAAAUAUUGGUGAAUGAUGUUAAAUUCAUAUGGGAUGAUGGAUUUGAAAGGAGUUUUGAAGAAUUGAAGCUAUUUUUGACAACCGUACCAAUAGUGAGGGCUCCCAACUGGCAACUGCCCUUUGAAGUAAUGUGUGAUGUCAAUGAUUUUGCUAUAGGAUUUUUUCUUGGGCAAAGAGAAAAUGGAAAACCUUAUGUGAUCUACUAUGCGAGGAAGGCAUUGAAUGAGGCACAAAGAAACUACACAACCACCGAGAAAGAAUUGUUAGCUGUAGUUUUUGCCUUGGAUAAGUUUCGCGCUUACUUGGUGGGGUCCUUCAUCAUGGUUUUUACUGAUCACUUUGCUUUGAAGUAUCUGUUGACUAAGCAAGAUGCUAAAGCAAGGCUGAUUAGAUGGAUUCUCUUACUUCAAGAGUUCAAUCUCCAUAUCAAAGAUAAGAAAGGAGUGGAGAAUGUGGUAGCAGACCACAUUUCAAGGCUAGCUAUCGCACAUAAUUCCCAUGCUUUGCCCAUUAAUGACGAUUUUCUAGAGGGGUCUCUCAUGUUGGUGGAAGUUGUCCCUUGGUACGCUCACAUUGCUAACUACCUGGUCACGGGAAAAGUUCCAAGUGAGUGGAAAGCACAAGAUAAGAAGCACUUCUUUGCAAAAAUUCAUGCCUACUAUUGGGAAGAGCCAUUUCUAUUCAAGUAUUGUAUGGAUCAGAUAAUAAGGAAGUGCGUUCCUGAAGAAGAGCAACAGGGGAUCCUUAGUCAUUACCAUGAAAAUGCAUGUGGAGGCCACUUUGCUUAUCAAAAGACAGCCAUGAGGGUGUUGCAAUCGGGUUUCUGUUGGCCAUCACUUUUCAAAGAUGCCCACACCAUGUGCAAGAGUUGUGAUCGAUGCCAGAGGCUUGGGAAGUUGACACGCAGGAACAUGAUGCCUUUGAACCCCACUUUAAUAGUUGAUAUUUUUUAUGUUUGGGGCACUAACUUCAUGGGACCUUUCCCUAUGUCUUUUGGCUACUCUUACAUCUUGGUAGGAGUAGAUUAUGUUUCUAAGUGGGUUGAGGCAGUCCCAUGCAAACACAAUGACCAUAGAGUGGUUCUCAAGUUUCUUAAAGAGAAUAUCUUCUCAAGAUUUGGGGUGCCCAAAGCCAUAAUUAGUGAUGGGGGUACUCAUUUUUGCAACAAGCCUUUUGAAACUCUCCUAGCCAAGUAUGGGGUGAAGCAUAAGGUAGCUACACCUUACCACCCUCAAACUCAUGGACAAGUUGAGUUAGCAAACAGGGAGAUUAAAAACAUAUUGAUGAAGGUGGUGAACACAAACAGAAAAGAUUGGUCAGUCAAGCUUCUUAAUUCACUAUGGGCAUAUAGAACAACUUACAAGACCAUUCUCGGGAUGUCUCCUUAUCGCCUAGUUUAUGGCAAAGCAUGCCAUCUCCCUGUGGAAUUGGAAUACAAAGCUUGGUGGGCAAUCAAGAAGCUCAACAUGGAUUUGAGCAGAGCUGGGUUGAAGAGGUUCUUAGACCUUAAUGAGAUGGAGAAAUUGAGAAAUGAUGCCUACAUCAAUUCAAAAAUUGCAAAAGAAAAAUUGAAGAGGUGGCAUGAUCAGUUGAUUUCCCGCAAGGAUUUUCAAAAUGGACAAAGAGUCUUACUUUAUGACUCUAAACUCCACAUCUUUCCGGGCAAGCUGAAAUCAAGGUGGAUAGGUCAUUUUACCAUUCACCAAGUGCAUUCAAAUGGAGUAGUGGAACUACUCAACUCCAACAAUAUCGAGAACUUCAAAGUGAAUGGCCACCGUCUCAAGCCCUUUGUGGAGUCUUUUUCUCACAACAAGGAGAAAUUCAUCCUCCUUGAUCCACAUCAAGCUUAACAAGACCAAUUUUCUUGAUGGACUUAGUCUUUCUAAAGACUAUCGAGUCCAUAACUUUUUGUUUUAUUUUUUAUUUGAGAUUUUUUCGGUAUUGUUACUUGUUUUGUUUUUUAUUUUUCGUUUUAAUUUUAUUUGGUUUGAUUUAACUUAGGUUUUUGAUGAUCAAUUACAGGGGGGAUUUCAAAUAGAGGAAAAACCAAGAUAAUUCGCACACCCUACGAAAAUUUCGCAAGGCAUGCGAAAUUUAUGGCUUAUUUUGCAUGGGGUGAAAAUUUUCGUACAUCUUACGAACCAAUUUCGAACACUUUGCGAAAAUAAACCAACCCUGCGAAAUCAUUUCGAUUACUCUACGAAAUUUUCGUAGAGCAUGCGAAAAAUUUAGCACACCAAACACCAUUUCGCAUACUAUGCAAAAACCUAAGGGGUCUGCGAAACCAUUUCGCACCUCCAAAUCCAUUUCGCACAUUGUGCGAAAACCAAGAGGCGCUGUGCGAAAAUGAAAAGUCGCCCUGUCAUCCCUUUUUAAACCCCUCGAGCCCUAAAAUCUCCAUUUCGCAAGCACCCCUGUCCUUGCGAAUCCCUCAUUUUCCUCUACUACCUUGCAACCUCGUCCCUUUCCAUUUGAUAUUGUGCCCCGCGCACAUCUCAUUUCAGAGACUCGCACUCCGCGCCCCCUCAAAGCAUGGACUCGAGACCCACCUUCCAUUUCCGACGUGGCACGGACCCAAGGAGCCCUUUCUGCCCCUUCACUAAGACACACACCAAGGCAGAAAGCCUCCUUUGCUCAAGUGCCUAGUGAUUCUCCAUCUUAGGCCUCAGAGGCCUCGGAGGCCCCGUGGAUUCCACCUUCCGAGGGUAGAGCAGCCAUUGGUCCUUCCUCUUCUACUCCUUAGCGUAGAUACGAGACGAGGAGACCACCUACUACACAAGGGGCGACUACUUCGAGCCUUGAGAAUUCAGUACGAUGCCUUCCUGCCAAGAGGGUCAAGACUUCAGGUCCAAGUGAGUCAUCCAGAGCUUCAUAGCCUAAGCCUCCUGUAGAUUCCAAGGUUCCUACUGACAUAUCACCGGAGUCUAUUAUCAGAAGCCCGAUGCUCAUAGCACCGCCCAUUGAGGGCAACUCAGAUUAUAGAGCGAGAUCUUUCCACUUGGAGCUAUAUUUUGAUCAGGAGGCCAUACGACAGCAGCCUGAGCUCCGAGACUCUUAUGGCUUACUGCAGAGGUACCAUCUUGAGGAACUUAUGACUCCUCGUGAGUUUUUUUAUCCCAGAGUAGCACUAAACUUUUACCAGUCCAUGACUACUCGUGGCGUCCCGAGUCCUACCACGAUUCACUUCACCAUUGAUAGACGUCAUGGUAUCCUCAAGGCCAGACAUAUUACAGAGGCUCUACAAAUUCCUUUCGAGCUAGAGGAUCCAUCUGUUUUUCGCUAAUGGUCCCCAGUAUCUCAGAGGGACAUGGUCCGUAUUUUAUCUAGGGGAACAUCUACAGAUUCGAUCUUUCUACGGAAGGAGCUUCGACCUGGGAUGCUCCUCUUAGAUGUGGUGCUAUGCUCCAACCUCUUUCCCUUACAACAUUCGGUACAUAGGUGAUGAGCUAUUUUGGACGCUUUAUUCCGUAUAUCAGAGGGCUUCUACUUUGGCCCGCACCACUUGAUCAUGGUCUCCCUCAUCCACUUUGAGGAGAAGGUUCAUAGGAAGAAGCUUCAGAGGGUGGACACCAUUCCAUUACUAUUCCUGAGGUUACUUUGCCAGGUCUUGGAGUACAUGGGCUUUCCUACUGAGCCUCGGCUCGAGCUUUGCCGCCUUUGUCGAGAGUGAUCCACUCUCGACAAAUGGAAUUAGUUGGCGGGCUAUUCUGCACCUCCAGGAGCCCCUCCCAUGGUAGCACCUCCAAUGUCCCCACAGGCAAAGUAGGGCGAGCUCCCGGCAAAGACUGUACCACCAAUGCCCACACUUGAGGCUAUUUCUGCUGCUCUGCCUAUGACUCCUACUGUUCCACCAGUUGGUCCUUUUACAUCCGAGCCUUCCAUCACCAUCUCGGCUUCGGAGUUUCGCGCCCUUGUGCAUACCUUUCAGACACUCACCACCACACAUACUCCUCUCUUCUAGCAAAUGGUUGAGAUGUGUGCCCAUCAGGACCGGAAGACUACUAUACUCUGCCAAAUUCAGCAGCACCUAAGACUUUUGCCUCAACCUCAACCUAACCAUCCCAUAUCAUCAGAGCCUCUAGCUCCAACUGAGGAUACUAUUCCACCUGAGAACACUACCACAGUAGAGGUCCGGUUUCCACCACCUUAAGAGGCCACCACAGCUACAUCAGAGGAUGUGUCAUCUCCACUUGAGGCUCCCACUACUUGAUCAUAGGACAUAUCUUUAUCUUAUUGUAUUUACAUAUUAUAUUACUAGAGAUUUGUCCUUGUUUUGAUACUUUAUAUUCUGGGAUUGGAUGUAUUGCCUGAUGAUAUCUCAAUUGUACUUUCUCAUAUUAAUAUAUAGACAUCAAUUUUUUUUAGUAUACUUAGCAUUUUUCUAUUUCCUCUACUCAUUACUCUUUUGUUUUUUUUUACUCAUGUGGUUUCUCUUAUACAACUCAGACUCCAUUUCACUCAGGAGGUACCACUUCCUCCCUUUAUUUUCAAUUGCUCUUGAAAUAUUGAGUGCAAUGUUGAUCUUGGUUGGGGGGAGAGUUGAGGAAGGAAGUUUUGUUAAUAAUGCUAGGUUAAUUUGUUAAUUUAGUUACUUUCUGCUUAAUUUUAAAAGUUUUCACUCUACUUUCCAUGGUUAUUAAGGAAAAAUUCUCAAAAUGAAAUGGGAGAAAUCGAAUUCUUGCAUUUUUACUUGAAUCUUAGAAUUUGUAUCAUGCUUAUUAAAGUUGAUGAAUUAUUGAAACUCCUAUUGAAUUCAACCUUAUUUUUUCCACUUUAAUCUUACCACACACGGUGCACAUUAGGUUCCAGUUAUAAGAUAAAAAACUAUCUCACCCCCUAAACUUAGAAAAAUUUACACUUGGUACCUUUGACAUCGUUUUAAUAGUGUUGGGACACCUUAUAAAAGGCCAAUGAGCCUUUAAAAAAAAAAAAAAAAAAAAAAAGAGAAAGAACAAAGUAUUGCACUUGCCUUGAAACCUGAGCAAGAUCCGAGGGGUAUACAGUGAAAGUCUUUAAAACCUGGUGCCCUAAGCCUUGAUUGGUUGGGAGUCACCGACCUCAAUGCUCGUUAUAAGGGUGAAUAGGUGGAGUUUAACAUAUUGUAGGUGCUUGGGUAUUGAAUUUCAAUCUCAAAAGUCCGGGAAAAAAUCUAAGGAGUUAGUGGUCAAAAGAUCCUUAAAGCUUGAUGCCCUAAACCUUGAUUGGUUGAGAGUCAUUGAUGGAUCCCCGCUACAUGGACAUUUUAGAAAACAAUACCUUUAGCAUUGCACGCCUACAAUGAAAAAAAAAUGUGAAAUAAAAGAGGUGCGUUCUUAGCCUAUUGGAGGUUGGUCAGUUUGCUAAAGUUUGAGAAAUCUAGGUUGGGGGGAGAGAAUAGUCCGACAUACUAUAAUAAAAAACUAAUAACCUUAACACUUAGAUUUUUGUGGAAGAGUAAGGAUUGGACCUUUAGGGGUGGAAAUUCUUUUGAUGCUUAAAUUUGCAUAAUGCCUACUCUUUAUAAAUUAUGAUUAGGCAAGAGAUUUGAUGACUCUUGUUCAAAGUUGGGUUUUUCCUCUUUGAUGUUCCAUGAGAGAGUAUAAUCCUCAUCAUGCCACUUGAAAUCUUUUUGGAGUGAUUAACAUGAUUUUGUAAAUUAUUUUACUGUCUAUUUUUCUUUAUCUCUCUUUUAUUGCUAAUGGACUAGCAAUAUGUCAGUUGGGGGGAGUGAUUACUACUCAAAAAGUACUCUUUUAUAGCUUGAAACUAACUGUUUUAAACACUUUUGAGUAGGUGUUAAUACAUUUUAACUCAAUUGGCACAUUAAGGAACCUAACAAGGGUUACUAAUAAGUUUUUGGCAAGUUUUGGUGUUUUUGGUAGCUAUUUGAUCAUUGAAACAAGCCAAGAAUGAGGGAGAAUUUUGUGAAGUCCAUAGCAAUGCAAGUUAAAGCUCAAAUACAUGAAGAAUCCAAGCUUUGAAGCACUUCAUAGCCCUUUGCGAAGCCAAUCAGAGAUGCAAGGAAGAAAACCAGAGGAAAAAAUCCAACAACCAGCAUUUUCGCAUGGCUGUGCGAAAUUUUGCACACCAUGCGAAACCACAAGAAGUAGCCAAAGAAUUUUGCACACCAUGCGAAAUUUCGCAUGGUAUACGAAAUCUUCCUAUGCACCAACUCCGUUAUAUUUUUAUCUUCAGAUAUUUUGUGUAAUUUCCUAGUUUCUCCUUGUAACCAACCUAGAUAUUUUCUUUUAUAUCUUUUUUUUAUAUUUUUUAGGUAACAUCAUAUAUAGGGGGAGAGACAUAAGGAGGAUAUGGAUGUUUUUCAUAAAACACUUUUAAUUUUCUGGUAGUAAGAAAUAUACAAAGUUUUUUGCUCUGCCUUACCUUCUCAUUUUGUUUUCACCUAUCUUUCUAGCCAAACAACCUCUGAGAAUGAUUUCUCAGGGGAUGAGUAGUUAGGUUUUACGUUUCUUGGAGUGAGAGAAGCUAGGUGAAAGACCCAAAUGCUAAGGUGGGAGUUGUCCUUGCUUUAAAUGAAAGUAGUUGUUAAAUAUUAAUGGUUUUUAUUUUAAGGUUUAGCUUUAAAUCCCUUAAAAACACCUUGAAUGGCCAAUACUUGGUAAGCUUUUCGGAUUCUAUGGAUGCUUAUUGCUAGAUCCAUGGAUGUCAUUAGUUAUCAUUUAUGAGCCAUUGGAAGGUGGUUCAAGAUGAGAGUCUUUAGUGUUUGAAGCCAUUAAUGGGAAACAAUUACCAUUUUUUCAUGAAUCCUUUGGAUAAAAUCUUAAUUGCUAAAUAUAAAACUGGUUCGGGAGAUAACCAUCCUUUAUGUUAUUAUGCCCAAUGCAAGGAGAAGAUUUCGAAUCUUCUCAUUUGUCUAAGGAACCCGAUCCUAGUGACCUAAAGCUCCUAGAGACCUUUUCUUUGUAGUUAACUUCAUUUAUUGUUUUUGCUUAACUUAAAAUCAAUCUUUGCAACCACAAUUCCAUUUUCUUUAAAAGCUAAUUUUUAUAAGGAAAAGCACCAUUUUAUUUCCUUCACUAAGUCAACUGUAUGAUGAAAACCCAUCCCUGUGGACGAUCUUAGAGCCACUAUACUAUGUUAUCUAUGCUAUCCUAGUGUGAGGUGAUUUAGGUUUUAUAAAUUUUGUUGAUAACACCCGUCUGAGCCAGAAUCAAAUGGAACCACUGAACCAGGGACAAAUCAACAGCCUAUAUGGGAGGGACACAAGUUUAAUUGAUUUGCAUUUCAGCGUUAUAGAUAAGUAUGUUUUGGAAGAUUUGUUCUGGAAAUACUGCACCAAGUACGAUUCUUUUUCUCUUGAGUGAGUCCAUUUGCAUGCCAAUUAACGAGUUGAAAAGUAGGAGCACCUACCUCGUGCUCAUGGAACCGAAUGUCAGUGAAGUGGGGCUCCUUUUAGCCUCUUGUGUUUCUGUUCCAACCAAGGCGGCGUAGGGAAAAACAACAAUAUGUCUGUGCUAAAUAUCAACGCAUGAUAGAUGUUUUUUUUUUUUUUUUUGGUAUGUCAAGGCUAACGAAUGAAAUGCAUUAGCUUGUUUUGUGACUAUAACUGCAAAUGUCCAAAUUGGAGUAUCUCCAUUUCUCACUUCGGAUGGUUAACUUUAUAAACAAGAUAUAGGAAACAUGUGAACAUCUUGAGGAACAAUUCAAAUUAUUCAUUAGAAGUCCUGGGUUAAGUUCCAAGAUUUAAAUCAGACCCUUCUAGCAGCUUCAAGGGUACUUAGCAACCUAUAACAUAUUAAUGAAGAUUUAGGAUUUAGACUCCGGAAUACAAAUAAAUAUGUAUCUCAUGCUUUGACUAGCUUCCCUACAUAUGCAUAAAAUGGAGAUGACCCAAAAAAAAUAGCAGAAUCUAGCUUCCCUACAUAUGCACAAAAUGGAGAUGACCCAAAAAAUAGCAUAAUCGCCUUAGUUUCUGUGGUUAAGGUGAUUCUCCGCUUAAUAUCCACAUUGACUCAUUAUGCAAAAUCAACUGAGCUAAUUUUAUUUAUUUAUUUAAUGUCAAAUAGGAACUCCUAAUUAACUGAUUACUGUCGAAAAGUGCUAUUUUGUAGACCUAAUUAUAAGGGUUUUAAGCACCUUUGAGUAGUAAUCAUAUUCAUUUAACCUAAUUAAUUCAUUAAGCUCCUUAGUAAUUAGUUCUAACCAUUUUUAGUGGCAAGUUUACAUGUUUUUCAUCAGCUUAUGAACCAAUUCAAGCAUGCCAAUUGAUGGAGGAGCUACUUGGGCGAGUUAAGCAAGGAUUUUGGACGUUUACAGGCUUGAAUUUCAAGUGGAAACACGAGCACAAGCAAUGGGAACACCAUUUCGCAAGGGGAGGCAAUUCACCUUGCCAAAUGACCAAUUUCGCAAGGGGAUUUUCCUCAUGGUGCAAAAUUUGGUCAUUUCGCACCAUGAAGAAACCACCUUGCAAAAUUUCGCAAGGUGGAUUUAGGCACCUUGCGAAAUGCCAAAUUUCACAAGGUGGCUUUUCACCUUGCGAAAUUUGGACCUUUCAUCUUCCCCCCUUGCGAAAUGCCUUUGAAAUCCCCUGUUUUGAGACGCUGUUGAUGAUAUUCCACUGCCGGUUCUCCAAGAUAUUUUGCUUGACUUUUAGCUUUAUAAAUACCUAUUUUACCCUUGUAAUCAACCAAUGAAAAGGUUGCUUUUGUAAUAGCUCUUGUAAUUUAGCUUUUUAUUGUCUUUAAAUAGAGGUGAAGAGCCUCAGACACGAUCAUCUUGUAACCUGUAACUUUAUAAGUUAUAAGAGCACUUUUGUUCAUACGCUUCUUUUCUCUUUUCUUUCUCAUUUUCUUAGUAGCCAAACAUCCUUGGAGGAUGAAAUCCCCAAGGAUGAGAGGCUAAAACCUUUUAGUUUCUUGAAGUAAUGGAUGCCAUGUGAAGCUCCCGUGUCAGGAUGGAGAUUUCCAAGCCAUAAAUGUAAGUAGCUGAGCGUCAUAAAUGUUUUCAUUCAAAGUAAAGCUUUUAAUCCCUCUGACUUGCUUUGAAUGGCCAAUACUUGAUAACCUUUUGGUCUCAAUGGAUUCUUAUUGUUAGAUCCACUGACGUUCAUUAGUUAUCUCCUACGAGCCAUUGUAUUGCAAGUCGAGGAGAUGACCUAUACCAAUAAAAGAGCAUUUAUGAGGUUCAACUACCCUUUUUGUAAGUUUUCAAGGACUAAAACUCAGUUGUUAAACUCAUACCGGUUCGAGAAGUAAGCAUCACCUUAGUUGCUUCCCCAACUCGAGGUGAAAAGUCCCAAAAUCUCCAUUUUUACACAGUGAGUUAAGCAUGGCUAUCCAAAGCUUUAAGAAACUUCUUUUUCCAUCUUUUAACCUAUUUUCAUGUUAGUUUAGUUUACAACACCUUCAUCUUUUUAUGUUUUCAUCUUAACCUAAUUUUUAUUAAGAAAAGUUCACUCCAUCCUCCGAACUUCACCAGUUAAAGUAAAAACCCUUCCCAGUGUUCGAUCCUAGAGCCACUAUGCUAUAGUAGCUUUGCUACUUUAGUGUAAGGACCUUAGGUAUAAAUUUUGUUGAUACCCUUACAUGCCAAGCUACCAAGAGUCGGGUUAUCAUUAACCUAACCAUUGGCCUGUGUAAAUUGAUUUCACAUGCACAAUGUUGUAGUAGAAGUCCAUAUUUUGAAUUUUAUUUUUGUAAAGGUAAGGAAAAUGAAGCAUUGUGUAAUUAUAAAAAUAACUUCAUUGGAAUUCACAAGGUUCACCCAAAAUGGAGCUACAUCUGUAUUCUAUCCUACAGUAGACUAUAUAGAUUGUACAAUAGUAAAUUGCAAAUACAAUUAAUAAGUCUUGUGCUUCCUUACUAAUAAUCCUUUGACAUGAACAUUGCAGCACUAAGGUCCUCUUGGGAAGACACCUUGCACCCAUGAGAGCACUAAGAGGAAGCAAGGCAGAGUCAUGGGUGCAAUGUCAUGACUUGUUGUUGCACCAAGAGAGGCUUGGUGAUGCCAUGGUGUUGCAGUAGCAAGAAUGUUGCCUUGGCAGGGACACGAUCUAGGGAUAGAUGCCAAGAAAGGCUUAGCACUCACAUGAGUUGCACAAAGAUGAAUGUAAUAGAGCAUCAGAGAGACGUCUUGGCAAGUAAAUGAAUGGAUCCAAGAGACAACAACAUGAGGAGUUUCAAAUGGAUAAGGAAUGACUCAAAGACAUUUGAAAGCUACAAGUUGGAUUCUAAUUACGAUUGCAAUUUGAGUUUGAGUAGGAGUUUAGAUUUUGAUUGUAAUUGUAGUAUGAGUUGGACUAGGAUUGCUUAUCCUUAGUCAAUAUAGGAGCGGUUCGUGUCACCCUAUGAAAAGAGUUUGAGUAGGGACUAGGAUUGCUUACUCCUAGUCAAAUAUGGAGUAGGUGGUGCCACACCUAUAAAAAAAAGGGACAACAUGAGAGAGAGAGAGAGAGAGAAAGAGAGAGUGAAUUCACUAAAGAUAUUGUGGGAGUUUUGCUUUGUUACGUCUUGUAUUAUUACUUAGAAUAGGAAUAAAAUACAAGUUGGGGCUAGAGCCCCAUAAUUAAUCUCGUGUGCCUUUGUGGUUAUUCUUUAUUUGUCAUCUCGUGUGGAUUGGAUUAGGUUGACUUAGAGGGCUUCUAAGCACCACCUUUGUGGGUUAUUAUUUAUUUUCCAUCUCUUGUGGAUUAGAUUAGGUUGACUUAGAGGGCUUCUGAGCACCACCUUUGUGGGUUAUUAUUUAUUUUCCAUCUAUUGUGGAUUAGAUUAGGUUGACUUAGAGGGCUUUUAAGCACCACAUUUGUGGGUUAUUCUUUAUUUUCCAUAUCGUGUGGGUUGGAUUAGGUUGACAAGGAGAAAAAUUAUGUGGGAAAUUUGUGUUGGGACACUUACCAUAACCAAGUAAAAUCUACCAAGUCCUUUGUAAUAUCUUCAACAAAUAUUUUAGACUAGUUCUUUCAGUUAGUGUAAAGGAGGAAGAAGUGGUAUUGAUUCUAGAAAUAGGGUGUGUGUAUUUGAACUACAAUCCUUAUGAUCCUUAGGUCUCUAAACCUUCGUGAUGGGCUCCCUGACAUUUCAUAGGUUGUGCUACACAUGCGUUUGAAAUUUAGAGUGCGUUUGACAGUGAUUCCGGGAAGUGUUUUUGGCCUUUCUUACACUUGAAAAUUUUUAUUUUUCAAGUAUUAGAAAUGCUACAAACACUUUUGAAAAUUACUGUCAAACACACUCUUAGGAGCGCACAUAUAUAGUAGAAAACUAGAAAUUGUGGUUUUUUUAGGAUUUACUGUAAUGUCAUUAGGAGGGUAGUAAGUUGAAAUUGAGUAUGAACAAAUAUUUCUUUCUUUGGGAUGUUCUUCUAGUAGGUGCUGAUGAAACUGUUCUUUCUACUGCCAAUGUCACAUAUCAGCCAGAAAUUGAAAAUUUCAGUCAAGGUGUCCUCUGUUUUAGUGGUGAGGAAAGCUAGAAAUUUUAAGGUGAAGUUUUGUUAAAAACCUUAAGUAGCUGGGAUAUCAGGCCUGUUUUGCUUGAAAAAAAAAGUUGCAAGAUAACUCAUAUGCCAAACAGGUUCUGAUAUUGUGAAUCUAUCGGCAGACAUCAGUAAUCUCAUCUUCUGAGAUGGAUGUUGGGGGUGCAUGUGGUGGUGGAGGGGCAAGGUUUCAUUUGGUUUAUUUUGUUGAUGGAUAUUGUCUAGCCACCUGCGCCAAGUUUGAGGGGUGGUGGGUUGUGAUGACCCUACAAUUACUAUUAAUUUCUUCAUCUUUUACCGAUUAAAGUGUCCGAACAGUCGAAGUUACCCUUAUGCAUGUCAACUUGAUCACUUACCUCUUCAAUGGAGUUUAUGCUGGUUCAUUUAGGAACUGAUUUUUAUUGUUAUGUAUUAUAUGCUGAUGUUUAGGUCUCUCCAUCAUCACUAUAUACAAAAAUUCUAGGUUGAUACUAUAGGUUGAGAUUUAUUUUUUAAAUAAAAAAUAAUAAAAAUAAAAAUUAUGGUGAUGUUUAGUUGUUUUAUGGAAAAUUUUAACAAGUAAAAGUUAUUUUUGGGCAAGUUUUCAAACAAAAAGAAAAGUAAAAGUUGUUUUGACAAAAACAUAUAGAAAAAAAAAUCAUAGAAAAUAAAUAAUUUCCCCAUAUUCUAACUUUUUUGAAUUUUUCUCAAUGGGCAAAGGAAUAUCAAAUCAAGUUUGAGUAGGAUUUCUUAAUUUUUAAAAUAACUUACAAUUAAAAAAUUUUGGUGUUUUCAUUUUUGGACAAUUUUUUAUUAAGCAAAUGGACUCUGAGUCAUGCAAGAGAUAUGGUUCAUUAACCGGUCGAACAAUUUUUUUAAAUUAAUUUAAAAGUCAAAUACAUAAUCAAUUUCACAAAAUUUAUAAACAAAAAUAGGUUUAGAGAAGAUCUACACAUAAUUUUACUUUUCUAAUUUUAUUUUAUUUUAUUUUUUGUUGGAAAAUAGUCUUCAAAUCAUGUAAGAUUUAAUAGGUUAAAUUUGUUAACAAUAAAUUUUAAAUUAUAAAAUAUAAUCUGGAACUCAAAAAUCAAUUCAAGUAAUGCUAAAAAAAAAUCAAAUUUGGUAUAGAAUGACUUUGUAAAUUUUUUUACAAAACAAAUGAAUUUUAAAUCAAGUGAGAUUUAAUGCAUUAGAUUUUUAUCAAAUAUAGUAAUUUUAAAAAUAAAUUUGGAACUCAACAAUAGACACAAUAAAUACCAAAAAAUAAUGAACCAAAAUUGGUUUGGAAUAACUCCACAACCUUUUUUUUUUUUUUUUGGUGCACACGAAUUUUCUUACUAGGUAUAUUGCUUUCAAAUUGAGAAAGAUUUACCAUUUAGAUUUUUUUUUAAUGAGUUUAAUGGUAUUUUAAAAUAAUUCAAAAUUUAAAAAAUUGACUAAUUAAUAUUAUAAAUUGAUAAACCAAGACUAUUUCAAAAUGCAUUGGGGGCUAAGGGGGUUGAAAAUAGGGACAAUGGGAUGGGUUUGGGACAUGACACUCAUAUCUCAUUUCCAUUCCAAUUACACAGUUAUCUCCCAUCCUUAUCCCAAACUUGUGUUGGAGCAAGUUGAUUUGUUCCCAUCUUUGUUGACGAAAUGACUAAUAACCUCAUCCCCUCCUUAUCUUAGAUGUACAUUUUGUCAAAUUUGAUCAGGUAUGAUUGAUCCAAGCCCUAACCCUAAUUGGUAAUGAGUGAAUACUACACCUAAUUGCAUUCUUCUUUCAUUGCAAAAUAAUGAGAUUAUAAUAAUCUAGCAAAUAAGAAAAAAUAGUAUGGAAGUUCAAAUUAACACCAUAACUAUCAAUAAUUUUAAGCUUAUAGAUGACUUAAAUGAUUAAAAACUAAUGCAAAAUCCUAAAAAAAAUAAAAAUCAUAUAAAGAAUUCACAAGAGAACAGAAUGAACAAAAACCAAAUAUGAACAUGGGUCAACAUUAGUUAUGGAUUUGGAUUCCUUUCAAGGCCAAUCUUUGAACCAAGACUUCAUCAAAUCAACUACUUCAAAGGCUUUUGUGUUCUUCUUGGGUUGUGCUCUCAAACAAAGACUUCGAGGUGAUGUUCUAGAUGAUUGAAUUACACAUAUUUAGGGUGGAGAGAUUGGAGAAGCUUGAAGAUGCCAACGAUGGGUACAAUUGAGUGGUCAAUAAGAACAAUGUAGCCUAUGACUAGUUUGAUGUCAUGGUACAAGAGUUUUAGGCAUUGAGGUUAAAGCAAGAGCAACAUGGAAUUGAUUUCGGAGUCUUUCAGUUAGUGUAAAGGAGGAAGAAGUGGUGUUGAUUCUAGAAAUAGGGUUUUAAGUGGUGCGUGAUUACUACUCAAAAAGUGCUAUUUGAUAGCCUUUAAUUAAUCCUUUUUAACACUUUUGAGUAGUAGUUUAGGCCUUUUAACUCAAUUGGCAUGUUAAGGAUCCUUUAAAGCAAUUUUGAUCACUUUGUGCAAGUUUUGGUGUUUUUGUUAGUAUUUUGAUCACCAAAGCAAGUCAAGAAUGAGGAGAACUAUGAGGAAUCAUGGGCAAAGCUUAGAAUUCAAUUGCCAAGAGUGAAUCCGGAUUGCAAGGAGAAAAAGCAAAGAGAAUCUGUCAUGAAGCCUAUUCUUGAUGACAGUCGUAGCAGCCACUUUUGGAGCACUUUCUGAAGUCCAAAUGAUGCAAGCUAUAUACCAUUUCAAAGAUCAGGAAGUCAACAAUCCAAUGCUUCAAACGGUGCGCGAUUCGGAGUUGAAACGAAGAAGUUGCAGCCAUUACAAGCCAGUCACUCUAAAGUGUUGCGGAAUCAGCCUUUUGUUGCGAGAAUUUCGCAGCACUUUUGUACAGUAAGGUGUUUCUCCUUCUGACGAUGCACGAACCAUGCCGCGAGAGGGAAGCUAGGAACUUCAAGAUGGAAGCCAACUUUGCAGCCUGGUGAAGAUAGCUUGGUCUUGCGAAAUAAUUUCGCAGCCCUCUUGGGUGUCUGCGAAAUUUCGCAGGCACCACUUUUUUCCUGCGAAAUGGCUCCGGAAGCCUCCCGAAGCUUGCUACCGACAUUGGGAGAUAUUUUCCAUUAGAUUUUUGUUGUCUAAAUUCCAAAAUACUCCUUGUAAACCACCAAUUACAUGAUUCCUUAGUUUUUAAGUUAGUAAAAAGACCAAAUAUCUAUGUAAUAAUUAGUUUUAUAUUAGUUUGCUAUAAAUACCUCUCGGGAGCAUGUUCUCAGAGAGGAGUUCCUUCUGUAACCAUUUUGGUAAGCAAGUAAAGUCUUUUCUUUCUACUGCCUUACCUUCUCACUUUGUAUUUUCAUUUUAUUUCUAAGUUAUGAAUUCUCUGAGGAGCUUUCCCCAGAGAAUGAGUAACUAAACCUCCAAUUCCUUGGAGCUAAGGUUGCCGGGGAAGGUUCCAAGUGCAAGAAUGCAAAGCUCUGUGGUUUUAGCUAGUAAUGAAGAGGAAGUGAAAUCCUUUAGUGAUUUCAAUGUUUUUAGUUAACUUAAAACACCUUGGAGUCACCUGGGCCAACACUUGGUAAGGCAAGUGAUUUCCAACCGUGGAAAUGCACUAGUUUACCCCUUGCGAGCCUCUGGUAGGUGACUUCAAGGUAGGAUUUUCUGGAAUUACCAACACUUGGUAAGCUUUUGGACUCCUAGGAGACAUCCAUUAGUUAUCUCUUGCGAGUUUGUGAAGGGGAAUCCAAGGUUAAAGAUCACCUUGAAUGGUAAGUGCUCGUGAGAGGCAUGAACCAUUGCAAGUUGUAUCAGUGAGAGAAUUAAAGUGAAAUCUAAUUGAAGGAGUCUCUGUACAUCACCGGUUAGAGAAUUGACUAUAAGUUGAAUCUCUAAUGCGAGGAAAUGAACCAUCUGACCGGAGCUAUGUCUUUUGCAUGAGGAACCACCCCAGUGAACCUAAAUCUCCAAGGAAUGCUUUUCUUCCUAAAUUAUUCCAAACUUCUGUUAAGUUAGUUAGUUUAAGUCUAAACCUUUACCAAUCAAACUUUGUGUUUUAUUUCUUAAGCUAACCGUGAAAUGAAACAAAACCAAUUCACUUGGAAUUGGUAUCCUUGAUUGCUUGCAAAUCAUUCCCAGUGAACGAUCCUUAGAGCCACUAUACUAUAGUAGCUUUGUAUUUGCUACCCUAGUGUAUGGUGUUAUAGGUAUAAAUUUUGUUGAUCACUUCCUCAAUCAAGGAACACCAGCUGAACACAAAUCAGCUGAGACACCAAUUGGGCAUGAGUCAAAUGGCGCCGUUGCCGGGGAAUGAGUGUCAAGAUCAUUGUGAUACCAUUUUUGAGCACUUGUGAUUUUCAUCACAAGUUGGUAAAGUUUCUUUCACUUUACUAAUUUUCAUUCUCUCUUUGUUUAUUUACAAUCUAAGUUUAUCUUUUUAAAAUUUAGUCUAGUUUAAUUUUGCUAUUGUAGCCUUGUUUCUCUUGUUGUCCUCUGUUCUUGUUGUCCUCUGUUUUCAUUUUAGUUGCAGCUGAAUACUAGUUGUGUAUGCCAAAGUGGAUACGAGACAUUGGAGGUAGGCUUAUUAAGUGUGAUACACCUCAGAGAGGAGAAUUGGAAGUAAUCUUGAAUAUCAUGGAGGCUGCACCUGAAGAUCAGCAUAGUCACCAAGGUCGUCAAGACAAUCUCAAUGAAUUCAGAUCAAUGAGGGACCGUAUGCAUCCACCUCGUAUGAGUGCACCAUCAUGUAUAGUGCCCCCUACAGAGCAACUAGUGAUCAGACCAUAUCUUGUUCCACUUCUACCAACUUUCCAUGGGAUGGAAAGUGAGAAUCCGUAUGCACACAUCAAGGAAUUUGAAGAUGUUUGUAAUACAUUCCAAGAGGGAGGAGCUUCAAUUGAUUUGAUGAGGCUUAAGUUAUUUCCUUUUAAUUUAAAGGAUAAGGCCAAAAUUUGGCUUAAUUCUUUAAGGCCAAGGAGUAUCCGCUCUUGGACUGAUUUACAAGCUGAAUUCCUCAAGAAAUUUUUUCCUACUCAUAGAACAAAUGGCUUGAAAAGGCAAAUUUCAAACUUCUCAGCUAAAGAGAAUGAGAAAUUCUAUGAGUGUUGGGAAAGAUACAUGGAAGCUAUAAAUGCUUGUCCUCACCAUGGCUUUGAUACUUGGCUACUGGUGAGUUAUUUUUAUGAUGGUAUGUCCUCCUCAAUGAAGCAACUCCUCGAGAAAAUGUGUGGAGAAGAUUUCAUGAGCAAAAAUCCAGAGGAAGCUAUGGAUUUCUUGAGCUAUGUAGCUGAUGUUUCAAGGGGAUGGGAUGAACCAACUAAAGGAGAAGUGGGAAAGAUGAAGUCUCAGUUGAAUGCUUACAAUGCAAAGGCUGGGAUGUAUACUUUAAAAGAGGAUGAUGACAUGAAAGCAAAGUUGGCAGCUAUGACAAGAAGAUUGGAGGAGCUGGAGCUGAAAAGAAUGCAUGAAGUGCAAGCUGUUGCUGAAGCACCAGUGCAAGUGAAGUUGUGUCCCAAUUGUCAAUCGUUUGAACAUUUGGUAGAGGAAUGCCCUGCAAUUUCAGCUGAAAGGGAAAUGUAUAGAGAUCAAGCAAAUGUUGUUGGACAAUUCAGGCCCAAUAACAAUGCUCCUUAUGGAAAUACCUACAAUUCAAGUUGGAGGAAUCAUCCAAAUUUUUCAUGGAAGGCCAGAGCAACUCAAUACCAACAGCCGGAUCCACCAUCUCAACAAUCUUCAAGUAUUGAACAAAUAAUAGCUAAUCUCAGCAAGGUAGUGGGAGAUUUUGUGGGAAAGCAAGAAGCCACCAAUGCUCGAGUGGAUCAAAGAAUGGACAGAGUGGAUCAAAGAAUGGACAGAAUGGAGAGUAUGUUGAACAAAAGAAUGGAUGGAAUGCAAAAUGAUAUGAAUCAAAAAUUUGAUAACAUCCAAUAUUCAAUUUCAAGGCUUACAAAUUUGAAUACACUGCAAGAAAAGGGAAGAUUUCCUUCUCAACCUAACCAAAAUCCCAAAGGUGUCCAUGAAGUGGAAAGCCAUGAGGGAGAAUCAUCACAGGUGAAAGAUGUGAAAGCUUUGAUCACUCUAAGGAGUGGUAAGAAAAUUGAGCAGCCAACACCCAAGCCACAUGUUGAGAAAGAAGAAGAGAUGAAGAAAGGGAAGGAAAUGGAAGAUAAAGGCAGUGAGAUCAGUGAAGAAAAGAAGGACUCUGAUGCAACAAUGAAAGUAAUUCCAGAGAAGGAGCUUCUGAAGGAAGAAAUGCUGAAGAAAUCAACUUUUCCACCUUUUCCUCAAGCAUUACAGGGGAAAAAGGGGGUUAGAAAUGCAGCUGAAAUCCUAGAAGUAUUGAGGCAAGUGAAAGUUAAUAUUCCACUGCUGGAUAUGAUCAAACAAGUUCCAACGUAUGCAAAAUUCCUAAAGGACUUGUGUACUAUCAAAAGAGGGUUGACUGUAAACAAGAAAGCCUUCUUGACUGAGCAAGUAAGUGCAAUCUUACAGUGUAAGUCUCCUUUGAAGUACAAAGACCCUGGAAGUCCUACCAUUUCAGUCAUGAUUGGAGGAAAGGUAGUGGAGAAAGCCUUGCUAGACUUGGGAGCAAGUGUGAAUUUGCUUCCAUAUUCUGUCUACAAGCAACUGGGACUUGGAGAGUUGAAGCCAACAGCAAUCACUUUGUCUCUGGCAGAUAGAUCAGUGAAAAUUCCAAGAGGGGUAAUUGAGGAUGUAUUGGUUCAAGUAGAUAAUUUCUACUAUCCUGUAGAUUUUGUUGUUCUUGAUACAGAUCCUACUGUAAAGGAAGCUAAUUUAGUUCCUAUCAUCCUUGGAAGGCCAUUUCUUGCAACUUCAAAUGCAAUCAUCAACUGUAGAAAUGGGCUUAUGCAACUCACUUUUGGUAACAUGACACUGGAUCUAAAUAUUUUCUAUAUGUCUAAAAAGCAAAUCACUCCAGAAGAAGAAGAGGGUCCAGAAGAGCUAUGUAUUAUUGAUACUUUGGUGGAGGAGCACUGCAAUCAACAUAUGCAAGAUAAGUUGAAUGAAAGUUUUGUGGAUAUUGAGGAAGGUUUUUCUGAAUCUCCUAAUGGGCUUGCUACUCUACAAAGUUGGAGAAAGAUAGAAGGAAUUCUACCUUUGUUCAAUGAAGAAGAGGAGGCAGCUGUUGAAAAAGAAAUUCCAAAACUCAAUCUGAAGCCUUUACCUAUGGAGCUGAAAUAUACAUAUCUUGAAGAAAAUAAUCAAUGUCCUGUCGUAAUAUCUUCAUCUCAAACCAAGUCUCAAGUGAAGGAUGCAAGCUUCAAAUGGGAUCCGGGCAAACUGAAUCAGGAAGGGCAAAAAGUUUUGAUGUAUGACACAAGACUCCAUAUCUUUCCUGGGAAGCUCAAGUCAAGGUGGAUUGGUCCAUUUGUUAUUCACCGAGUAUAUUCCAAUGGAGUGGUGGACUUAUUGAAUUCCAAUGGCAAGGACAGCUUUAGAGUCAAUGGAUAUCGUCUUAAGCCGUUCAUGGAGUCAUUCAAAUCAGAAAAGGAGGCAAUCAACCUCCUUGAACCUCAAAAAGCCUAAGUGAAAUGGGUUUGCUGGACGUGGUUUUACCACAGUCCAAAAAUUUUUGUAAAUUUUGUAAAUUUUCAAGUUGUUUCCAUGCUUUUAAUCUUAGUUUUUGAUUUUAAAUCAUGUUUUUAGGUGUGUUUUAAUCGUUUUAUAUGAUCCCAGGCGGAAGAAAUUUCAAGGGGAUUGAAAAGAAAAAAAUCGGGUCGAAAUUGGAGCCGAAACAGAGCAAAAACAGGGGAAAAACAGAGCUCUGCGAAAUUUCGCAGGGUGAAGGAAACUUCUGCGAAAUUGGCAUUUUGCUGCCAAACCAUUCCGCAGCACUGUAGAAGCCUCUGCGAGUGUAUUUCGCAAUUGCGAAAGUGGAUUUGGCACACGAGUGCCACUUCGCAGCACAGUGACAUCAAUUUCGCAGCUGCGAAACUCACUGCGAAGUUGCUGCGAAAAUGGCAAGUUGCUGCGAAAUUGGCGUUUUGUUGCGAAACGUAAUCUGACCCCUGGGCUUCCGUUUUUCCUAUUUAUACCUGUCAAAAGUGCUGCGAAAAAGGUUUCAAAAAUUAGAGCACCAUUCUCGCAGCCCUUUCAUCUUCUUCGCCAAGCCACGCCGUCCGUUUCUCCGGUCGUCUUCUCCGUUUAGCAGCGCCGGCCAAAGAUCGAUAGCCCAAAAAUGGCACGAACGCGAGGGGCAAAGUCUUCAUCCCCUUCGAACCGCAAAAGGAGUCUGCGAAAGGAGCCAAGUUCAGGCUCUGUUCCAGAACCUGCUCCAAAGCCUUCGCCGUCGAGACCACAACCUUCUCCAGUGAAGCCGGCGCCACCAAAGCCGCCGGCAAGGCGAUAUUUAACCAGGUCAGGUGGUCAGCCAUUGAAGAAGAAAGCCAGAGUUGAGAGCUCUGAACCAAUCGAUUUGACUGAGCAAUCCCCUGAGAAAUCACCAAAUCCUUCACCGGUACAAAUUCCAGUGCCAUCACCGGUUCCCUCGCCAAUUCCCUCACCAGAAGCAACUCCAAUUCCAUCGCCGGUACCAUCUCCGGCACCCCAAGAAAAAGCUCAGGAGCCUCAAGCGCCAAUUCCAGAGCCCCAAAUUGCAGCUGAAGCACCUCUGGAAGAAGUGAUCCGAAGGCCAAUGCUGCCUCAGCCCCCAAUCGAAGGAAACCUGGAUUGCCGAACUCGGGCAUUCCAUUCUGAGCUUUGCUUCGAUUUAACAGCAUUCAGAGUGAGGCCAGAGCUUGCCCAAUCCUUCCAACUGCUGAGGAGAUAUCAUAUGGAGCAUCUGCUAGCUCCAAGGGAUUUUUUCUAUCCCCGGGUAGUCACGGAUUUCUACCAAACCAUGACAACCAAAGAAGUAAGAAAUCCAACUCUGAUUCAUUUCAUAAUUGAUGGAAGGCAUGGUAUUUUGGGAGCAAGACAUAUUGCUGAAGCCCUGCAAAUUCCUUUUGAGCCAACUCAAUUCGACAAUUUUAAAGCUUGGACAAAUCCUACUGAGUUAGAGAUGGUUAGCACACUAACCAGAGGAGCUGCAAAUCGAUCGCAUUUGUUGAGGGGGGAGCUACCUCCAGUUAUGUUUUUGAUUGAUGCCUUUUUGAGGCAUAAUAUCUAUCCCCUGCAGCAUUGGACCCAAAGAAGGGGAAUUCUCCUAGAAGCCUUGUACAAAAUGUCUGAAGGAUUCUUCUUUGGGCCUCAUCAUCUGAUCAUGGCAGCCCUUCUAUACUUUGAGGAGAAGGUUCACAAGAAGAAGCUUCAAAGAGCAGAUUGCAUUCCACUCCUCUUCCCAAGGCUGCUAUGCCAAGUUUUGGAGCAUCUCGGAUACCCCUCUGAGCCUCAGCAGGAAAGAAAGAGAAUAUGCCGUGAGCCUUUUACCCUUGAUAAAUGGAAUAAUAUGACGGCCUACAAAAUUGAUCAGCCUGGGCAGCCUCAGCCAGCAGCAAGGAGAGUCUCCCCAAGACAUAUACCUGAAGGUAUAACACUUGCUACUCCUGCCAUCCCUCGAGCUCCACCAGCUGCACCUGCUCCAUCACAGCCAUCCACAUCAGCUGAGCCGAGGAUGGCCAUCCCUAUAUCCGAAUAUCGAGAGCUGUGCCGUGCAUUGGAGACUCUUACAGCUUCUCAGAGCAAUCUUGCUCAGGAGUUGGCAGCCAUUAAAGCAUGCCAGGAGCAGAUGUUAGCCUCUCAGACUCAACAAGCUGCCAUCCUAAGGCAGCUUCAAGUCCAUUUCGAUCUGCCACAAGCUGUAGAGCCCUCUAUUCCUACUCCACCAGAGCCACACUCUCAGCCUUCAGAGUCUCAUCCUCCAGAACCCGAAGCACCAGCUGAUCCACCUACUGAGGAGGCAGAUCCUUCUGCCUAGCACCAUCACCCCCCUCAUCAGACAUUAUAUAUAUAUUUGCUGUUUAUGUUUUUAUGCAUGUUUGUUUUGUUUUAGUUGAAAAGAAAUCCCAGUAUUUUGGUACUAUAUAUGGGAUUCCUUGUGUUACUUGUCUUUAGUAUUGUAAUCACAUGAACUCAAAGUAAUACAAGUUGACUAUUUCUUGUUAAAAGUUAGCAUUAAAGUUUCCUUAUUUCCUUUUCUCACAUAUUCUAUUCUUUUUGAAACAUGUGGUUUUCCCCAAUCAAUAUUCGAAUUUGAUAUCAGCAUGGAGGUACCACUUCCUCCCUUUUAUUACAGUCACUCAAAUCACAUUGAGGACAAUGCUCAGUUCGGUUGGGGGGUAUGAGGAAGGAAGUAUUCUAAACCUUUUUGGUAUUGCAAUUAUAUUGGUUAAUUAGUUGUAGAUUUUACUUUUUACUAGUGUUACUCUAUUCUCCAUGAAUUUUGAGGAAAAAUUUUCAAAUUAAACCAAGAGAAAUUGAACUGUUGUUUUUCACUUGACUUAGAGUAUGGAUUAUGCUUACUAAAGUGGUUCAAUUGUUGAAACUUCUACUGAAAUUGAAUUGAGUUCUUCCACUUUAAGCUAUCCACACACUGUGCACAUUAGUUUCCGAUUAUAAGAUGAAAAGCUAUUUCCCUCUUGACUUAGUAUAUUUUUGGGACUUGGUAUAUUUGACCUCAUUUGAUAAAAAUUGAAACACCCUGCAAAAGGCCAAUGAGCCUUUGAAAUAAAGAAAGUUGUUUGCUUGCCUUGAAACCCGAGCAAGGUCUGAGGGGUAUAUGGUGAAAAUCUUUAAAGCCUGGUGCCCUAAGCCUUAAUUGGUUGGGAGUCACCGACCUCAAUGCUCGUUACAAGGGUGAAUAGGUAGAGUUAGCAUAUGGUAGAUGCUUGGGUAUUAGAAAUUCAUUCUUAAAAGUCCGGGGAAAAAUCCGAGGAGUUAGUGGUUGAAAGAUCCUUAAAACUUGGUGCCCUAAACCUUAAUUGGUUGGGAGUCAUCGAUGGACCCCCAUUACAUGGACAAGUCAGAAAGAGUACCCCAUAAAGCUACCUUAAAAAAAAAAAAAAAAAAAAAAAAAAAAAAAAAGAUGAAAGUGUGUUCUUUUCUUAUUGAUUUUGGUCAGUUUGCUAAAGUGUUGAAAAGAGAUAGGUUGGGGGGUGAGAUUAGUAGCAUAUUAUUCUCGGAACCUAAGGAACCAAUACACAUAGAUUUUUGUGGAAGAUUGAAGUUUAGUUCUUAGAAAAUGAAAUGAUUUUAAAACUUCAGUUUGCAUAAUGCACUCCCUUGAUUGACAGUGUUUAGCAUAGGUGUUAUGACUCUUGUUGAGAUUUGGGUUUGUAUUUCUUUAAUGAUUCAUGUGAGAAAUAGAUCAUCAUGCCACUUGAGAAUUAUUUUCCUUUUAGCAUGAUGUUGUAAAUUUUAGAUUAGUUUGCUAUUUAUUUUUUAUUUUCUCUCCUAUAUUGCUAAGGGACUAGCAAUAUGUCGGUUGGGGGGAGUGAUUACUACUCAAAAAGUGCUAUUUGAUAGCCUUUAAUUAAUCCUUUUUAACACUUUUGAGUAGUAGUUUAGGCCUUUUAACUCAAUUGGCAUGUUAAGGAUCCUUUAAAGCAAUUUUGAUCACUUUGUGCAAGUUUUGGUGUUUUUGUUAGUAUUUUGAUCACCAAAGCAAGUCAAGAAUGAGGAGAACUAUGAGGAAUCAUGGGCAAAGCUUAGAAUUCAAUUGCCAAGAGUGAAUCCGGAUUGCAAGGAGAAAAAGCAAAGAGAAUCUGUCAUGAAGCCUAUUCUUGAUGACAGUCGUAGCAGCCACUUUUGGAGCACUUUCUGAAGUCCAAAUGAUGCAAGCUAUAUACCAUUUCAAAGCUCAGGAAGUCAACAAUCCAAUGCUUCAAACGGUGCGCGAUUCGGAGUUGAAACGAAGAAGUUGCAGCCAUUACAAGCCAGUCACUCUAAAGUGUUGCGGAAUCAGCCUUUUGUUGCGAGAAUUUCGCAGCACUUUUGUACAGUAAGGUGUUUCUCCUUCUGACGAUGCACGAACCAUGCCGCGAGAGGGAAGCUAGGAACUUCAAGAUGGAAGCCAACUUUGCAGCCUGGUGAAGAUAGCUUGGUCUUGCGAAAUAAUUUCGCAGCCCUCUUGGGUGUCUGCGAAAUUUCGCAGGCACCACUUUUUUCCUGCGAAAUGGCUCCGGAAGCCUCCCGAAGCUUGCUACCGACAUUGGGAGAUAUUUUCCAUUAGAUUUUUGUUGUCUAAAUUCCAAAAUACUCCUUGUAAACCACCAAUUACAUGAUUCCUUAGUUUUUAAGUUAGUAAAAAGACCAAAUAUCUAUGUAAUAAUUAGUUUUAUAUUAGUUUGCUAUAAAUACCUCUCGGGAGCAUGUUCUCAGAGAGGAGUUCCUUCUGUAACCAUUUUGGUAAGCAAGUAAAGUCUUUUCUUUCUACUGCCUUACCUUCUCACUUUGUAUUUUCAUUUUAUUUCUAAGUUAUGAAUUCUCUGAGGAGCUUUCCCCAGAGAAUGAGUAACUAAACCUCCAAUUCCUUGGAGCUAAGGUUGCCGGGGAAGGUUCCAAGUGCAAGAAUGCAAAGCUCUGUGGUUUUAGCUAGUAAUGAAGAGGAAGUGAAAUCCUUUAGUGAUUUCAAUGUUUUUAGUUAACUUAAAACACCUUGGAGUCACCUGGGCCAACACUUGGUAAGGCAAGUGAUUUCCAACCGUGGAAAUGCACUAGUUUACCCCUUGCGAGCCUCUGGUAGGUGACUUCAAGGUAGGAUUUUCUGGAAUUACCAACACUUGGUAAGCUUUUGGACUCCUAGGAGACAUCCAUUAGUUAUCUCUUGCGAGUUUGUGAAGGGGAAUCCAAGGUUAAAGAUCACCUUGAAUGGUAAGUGCUCGUGAGAGGCAUGAACCAUUGCAAGUUGUAUCAGUGAGAGAAUUAAAGUGAAAUCUAAUUGAAGGAGUCUCUGUACAUCACCGGUUAGAGAAUUGACUAUAAGUUGAAUCUCUAAUGCGAGGAAAUGAACCAUCUGACCGGAGCUAUGUCUUUUGCAUGAGGAACCACCCCAGUGAACCUAAAUCUCCAAGGAAUGCUUUUCUUCCUAAAUUAUUCCAAACUUCUGUUAAGUUAGUUAGUUUAAGUCUAAACCUUUACCAAUCAAACUUUGUGUUUUAUUCCUUAAGCUAACCGUGAAAUGAAACAAAACCAAUUCACUUGGAAUUGGUAUCCUUGAUUGCUUGCAAAUCAUUCCCAGUGAACGAUCCUUAGAGCCACUAUACUAUAGUAGCUUUGUAUUUGCUACCCUAGUGUAUGGUGUUAUAGGUAUAAAUUUUGUUGAUCACUUCCUCAAUCAAGGAACACCAGCUGAACACAAAUCAGCUGAGACACCAAUUGGGCAUGAGUCAGUGCGUUAGAGGAUCAAGAAGAAGAAAAAGAAGGAACUGUUGGAAUUAGUAUGAGUGUGAAGAGAAAAGUAUAUAAAUAAGGGGAAGUAAAAGCAAAGUUCAAAAAGCUAUAUUUUUUUAUUGUUGGUGUAUGGUUGCAUGAUUAUCCCUAUAAAUAAUAGGAGUUUUUUGGUAUUCUACUAGUAGUUGAAGCAUAAUUUCAUAAAUUAAUAUUUAGAGCGGGGUGGGGUGAGUUGUGACAAAAUUCAUACCCGUCCCAAACCUUGGUUCAGAUUUUUAAAAUAUUCUCAAACUUAUCAUAUACCCAACUUUUAUAUUUCAUACUUGUCCUAAUAGAGGCACGUUAGGCCGGGUUACUUGAGUAACCUACAUAAUUGUCAUCCCUAGUUGAAAUACACUUUUUGGCAGUGGCCACCAACUGAGCUAGAAGCUUGAUUGAUUGACCUACAAGAUUAGUUCUCAUCAUUUUAAAAAAAGUUCUGGCUUUGGUUGUGAGUGCAAUUGAAUCUAAACUGGCAUUUGCUUAAUGCAUCUACUUCAAUCCUAAACUUCUUACUUCUUAAGCCUCAAUUGUUGUUAGGAUUUUGGAAAACCCAUUUCCUUAAAUUGUAAAUUUAAGAUAAAAUAAAAUAAAAGUGAGACAUUUCUUGAUUGAAUAUUGUUAAAGGUCCCUUGGCAUUAAGACUUGGUUGAAGCCUUGGAAGAUUAGUGGAACUCUCAACAUGUGUUUGAAUCUUGAGGAGAGUGGAUGUAAGCCAAAAUUUUGUCAAACCAUUAUACAAAUUGAGUUUGAAUCCUCAUUUCUUGAUUUCUUAUUUAUUUGCUUUUUCUUAUUAUUACUUGAAUUGUCAUUUGCAUUCAUUAAUGUUAAAAUUGGUUAUAAUUAACCAACACUAAUUCUCUUUCCCCUUCCCUUUCUUGGGUGUAAACCUAGGUUGGAUUAACUAGAUAAAUCUAUUAAGAUGGUAAAAGAAUAAUUAUUCUUAACAUACAUAAGAUCAUCUUCAAUCAAAUGACUCAUUGGCUAAUAUGUUGAAUUUGCUUAUUACUUGCAACUCAAAAUUGUGUUCUAGUUGUGUCAAGUCCCCAGUGUAUGGACAUUAAAUUUGUAGUACGUGAUGAGUAAUUAGAUGGUCCAACUCCAAGAAAGUGAUUGAAAAGUAGUUCAAGAAAGGUGCAAAAGGGAAUUGUUUUGGUAUUUUCGUUUUUAUUCUUGAAGGUGGCAGAGCUAAAAUUUGAGAAAUCAAGCAAAACAUACUGAAAUUACAUUGAAAGAAAGAAGAUGGGAGUUAAUGUCUUGCAGUACAUGAUAAGGACUUCAUGCAUGUAGUGUGACCCAUGUCUUGGACUGAUGCCAACUCACGGUUACACUUAUACCCUUGGUUCUCUCUUUACUACCUUGGCUAACCUAGAUCAGGCUAUGAGAUAGGCUCCUCACCACACCAUUACUUGCCCAUUAAUUAGAGACAUUUUCAAGCAAUGAGGUAACAUGGUGACACCAAGAGGGUCUAUUCCUCGCCCGGAACAAGUCUAGACUUGGUCUCAAAAAAAUGGAGAAAAAUGAGGUGUCGUUAUGUAGAAAUACAACAACCAUGCCUUCCUCAUUACUUAGAUUCAGAAUGUGAAGGUGAAAUUGAGAAACAGAAACUCUUGAAACCAAAAUGAAAAUUGAUACUUUUACGAAGAAUUACAACAACAUUAGAGGAAGACUACAUUCUUCCUCUUUAUUCCUACAUUUCUACACUACUUCUACUCCACUCCAUAUUUCUACAUACAUCUUUAAUCAGUCUUCCCUCCUUUAUAUAGAGCCAUCUUCACACAAAUUUCGCAAGGUAGAAAAGAGGAAUGAAACUUGGAGCAAGGUUCGACUACUGGUUGUAGCUUGUCAAGGCUGGAAGUGAACUUUUCUUGGCUUUCUGGGCAUGGGUAGUAACUUGUGGGUUCCUGUUUGGCAUAAAAAUGGCUAGAACAUGUGGCACUAUCUUGUUGGAUGAUGUGUCAAGCAUGUGGCAGCCAUCUAGUGGCGAUUAUGUCAAUUUUGGGAUGGAGAGUUGGCAUCCAAUUGCAAAGAAAUAUGACGUCUACCAACAUGCAAUGUAAACCUAUGUAGAUCAUAUGAAGAUAGAGAGGAAAAAUAUAGAAAUGGAUAUAUACCUAGAACUAGCUUUUUAUUAAAUGAAACGGAGAGACAACAAUGAAGGAAAAUAAAAUUUUUUGGCUUAUAUCAAAGAGUUCACAUUGUGUUACCCUAGGUUUUCUUAAAACUUACUUUUAUGAUAACAAAAAAGAAAAAACCAUUAUUGUUUAAUCCUUUGUUUUAAACGCAUGUAAGGUGUAAUUAAGUUAGUUCAAUGCAUUAAUUUAAGAAACUUGACCUAUCAAAAGUACAAAAUUAGAUGAAAUCCAUUUCAAUGGUUAAAAUGAUCAAAAUCAAACUUUUUCUAAGUAUUUUUUAAAAGCAUCAAUAGUGAAAGACAAUUUUAUAUUUAGUCGGAGUUUGGACAAAACUGAAAAACACACAAAAUCCAAGCGACCAUCUCUAGCUUGGAUGGUCGCUUGAUCCCACCUAGAGAUGUGCAUGAGUAAAAGGAUUUGAAAAUGGAAAUUGACUAUGUAGUCGAUCAAUUAACUUUGCAACAUCAUAUGCAAUCCUAAUUGCUAGUCAUCUAAUCAAUUAGGUAGUCAAUCAACAGGCCAAAAAUAUGUUUAUAAUGACUAUUUUGUACAAAAACCACCUGUAUAGUUAAAUAUAAUGCAUUUCAUUUAUAAAUCUUCUAAUUCUUGAAUAACGAUCCUAUCAUCCUUUGAAAGUUUUUAUUACACUUUUUUUACUUUUGUUCUAAAACUUACACAUCACCCUUAAUUGUACCAUGAGAACCUAGCUAUUUUUUAUUUUUUUUUUUGUAAUUCAUCAAAGUUAGCUUUUGUAUUCAUUGUUGUAUUAUUUUUAGUAUAACUUAGAAAGCUAGUGUUUUCAAGUGAGUAAAAUUAACUUGUAAAUAUUGUAAAGAUUCAUCGACAUGUAUCUUAAACUAAGUGUACAAGUUAAAACAUUUGCUAGUAGAUUUUCUCAAAAUUUAGAAUAGAGCUUGAGACUAUUGAAAUAGGUGGGGUUGCACCAAACCACAUCACAUCGUUGUUUGCACCUUUUUUCACUCUCUUUUACUUAGUUGCUCUAUAUUUGUUGUCUAGUAAUAUCCUAUAGGCUUGAUGGGUUAGGGAGCAUCCCUUUGUGAAAAAAUUUUAUUCAAUCCUUAGUUGUAUCACGCAUAUAUAAAAUGCCUCAUUGUUUUAAUGGUAUUCAGUCGUGGCAUCACAGAUAUGGGCAUCUAAAUUUUAAAAGUUUGAAACUUUUAUCUAAAGAAAAUAUGGUGCUUUGCCUUUUUGUAAAGCAUGUUGAUGAAAUCCAUGAGAAUUGUGUACUUGGGAAGCAACACCGAGAUGACUUUUUUUUUUUUUUUAUAAUAUUGUUUGUCCAAAUUCCCUACAAAUUAGGCCACCAGAUGUUCAUAAUUCUCCCUUCUUGAAUUUGAAAACUCGGACAAUUGGACAAUGCGACACCUAAGUCCGGUUUCUAAAUGCUAAAGUGAAAGGGUAGGUAUGGACCAUUGAAAUGUGAUCACAACUUUUCUCUGUAGCCAUGUUGUCUCUUUUUUCUUUUGCAUGAUUUUCUUACCUUAACAGAAUCAUAGACUUGUUUAGUCUCUAAAUGGGAUUAAUUUCAUCCAGCUUUAAGCUACUAUAUUAUAUCUAGGUGGAGGACUUUUAAGAGUGCAACCGACAUAGAGCACAUGGAAGUGGGUAUAUGGGACAUGAAAUUUCUUCUUAUAAAGAUUGCAUGAUUUUUAUAUUAGAGUUGUUGAGGCGCUAUGUAUUUAGCUUGUUUUGCAGUUAAAUUAAUUGGAUAAGUAGACAUUGGCGUUUCUAAAUCUACUGUGAAGUGCUUCAUGUACGUGUGAAGUAUUAGAAAUUUCUUUCUUGGCAACUUGUUUUUCUUUGCGGUCUACUGAUAGGUUUGACUAAAAUUAUAUUCCCUGUCAUGCUAAUUAAUUUUCACGUGCAUGCUCAAAAGAAAAGUAUGACCUUAGUGCACCAAAAUCACUUUGAUUAAUUUGUGAUAGGUUUUUGUGCAUCAUGACAUUAGCCUUAUUCAUUUAGAUAAUGUUUAGUUUUUAGAAAGUAUUAAGAAAAGGAAAAUAAAUAUUAAGAAAAAUAUUCUUAUAUUUGAUUGUAUUAUGAAAAAUAUCAUAAAAAAAUCAAAUAUAAUUUAAAUUAAUUAAUAAUUUAUACAUUUUCAAAUUAUUUAAUCUUUAUAUUGAAGAUAUAAUAUAAAUGAAAUGAGUUUUAAGUAUUAUAUAAAAGUGAUUUAUUGAUCUUACAUAUAUAUAUUUCUUUUUUUUUUCCUUCUAUUUUUUCUCUUUAUUUUAUUUUCCUUAUGUUUUCCUCAACAUUUUCCGGAACCAAACAUAGCCUUAGGAAAUCCACAAUUACCUUCAACUGAGUAGAUUCUGUUGUUUUAGCAAUGUUAGGCUGCUAACUUGUGUUGGUACGAACCUAUUAAGCCUAAAGAUGUAAUUAGUUAGGAUAUUCUUUUCCCUCUAGUCUUGUAGCUCCACGUGUACAGUUGGUUAGGACCUCAUUGUAUAUAAUGCUUGCCCUGUUAUUGUAGAAGACAACAAAGAUAAAUAAUAUUAACAUUUUUCCUCUCAUCUCUCUCUGUUUCCCUCUGUUUUCAUCUCCUCUCUCAUCUUGGUAUCAGAGCCUCCAUGGCUUCUUUCAAAGAAACCUCCGAAUCACCUUCUGCUAGCAUUGUUAAUGUGCAAAACCCAUUAUCUCAAUCAAACAACCUUCCUUCACCAGUAGCCACACCCUCUUUUUCUUUCUCGUCUAUGAAUCAACCUCUCACAGUGAAGCUGGAUAAUGGGAACUACCUCAUAUGGAAGAAUUAGCUUCUAAAUGUCAUCAUUGCUAACGGACUCGAUGAUUUCAUUGACGGAUCUCGACCCUGCCCUCCUCGAUUUCUCGAUCUGCAACAACAAACCCUCAAUCCAGAGUACUCAGCUUGGCAGAGAUACAAUCGACUUCUGAUGAGUUGGCUGUACGCAUCCUUGUCCAAAGAUAUAAUGGCUCAGAUUGUUGGGUAUUCAACAGCUAUGGAGAUUUGGAAUGCCCUUAAUCAGAUUUACUCUGCCUCUUCUAUGGCGCGGUUUACUGAGCUUCGCACCAAGCUUCAAACGCUCAAGAAAGAUGGACUCUCAGUUGGUGAAUAUAUUCAAAGGCUCAAAUCCAUUUGCAAUAGUCUUGCAGCAAUAGGAGAACCAGUUUCUGAGAAAGACCAUCUUAUCUAUUUGUUCAAUGGAUUAGAUUGUGAGUAUUAUUCUUUUGUUACCUCCAUUCAAAAUCGAUCUGACCAACCAACUAUUGACAAAAUCCAUAGCCUAUUGCUUAGCUAUGACUUCCGGCUUGAACAACAAAACUCUGUUUCUCUCCAUUCUGCCCAAGUCCAUAUGGCUCAUCUGAACAAGAAACCUUAUAAAUCAACUCCUCAACCUACAUUCAAUCAUAUUCACAUUCAACCUAGAUACUCUUCUCCACCUUUUAAGCCAACCACUAGUCAAUAUCAACCCAACAUUUUGGGCAAACCACAACCACAACCAUGACAGCCUCAACCUCAAUGGAAACCACAUUUUUCAAUCUAAAAUCAAAAGCCUCAGCGCCAAAUUUGUGGUAAAUUUGGACACACUGCUCUUAUUUGCUUCCAUCACACAAAUUUGAACUAUUCACCCCAACCUUCUCCUAAAUCUUUCAAUACUGUUCUCACCACAAAUUCCCAGCUCCCUAAUCCUCCAAAAUUUUCUUACCCUACAAUGGCUCAUCCUGCUGCUACGCAUAACACGGUUCCCGAUACAAAUUGGUACAUGGACUCAGGUGCUACACAUCACUUUACUCUGGACAUCAACGUGCUUGACACUGUGACACCAUUUAGUGGUUCAGAACAGGUGACAGUUGGGAAUGGUAAGCAACUCUGUAUCUCACAUCUUGGUACUGCAAAACUACCAUCUUCGUAUUCUCCUCCUGUUCUACAUCAGGUAUAUCACACUCCAAAAAUUUCAAAUAAUCUUAUUAGUGUUAAAAAAUUGUGUUCUGAUAAUAAAGUUUUUGUUGAAUUUUAUGCCACUCAUUUUCUUGUCAAGGAUCAGGUUUCGAAGAGAGUUCUCCUUUAGGGUCAACUUGAUAAUGGCUUAUACAAAGUUCAGUCGUCAUGCUCUCCUUCUGCUGUUUCCUUUCCUCCUCAAGUUUUCAUAGCCAACAUCAAGUAUCCAAAUCUGUGGCACAAGAGACUAGGCCACCCAGCUUUAUCUGUUGUUAAUCAAAUCUUGGAUUCUUGUAACAUUGCUCGAACACAGAAAAUUUGUUUUAAUUUUUUAAAUUCUUGUCAAUUAGCAAAGAGCCACAGGCUUCCUUUUUCUCUGUCUCCAUCCAUUGCAGAAAAACCUUUUGAGUUAAUUCAUACAGACCUAUGGGGUCUUUCGCUCGUUCGCUCUAUUUCUGGUGCUCUUUAUUUUUUACUUUUCAUUGAUGAUCAUACUCGUUUUACUUGGUUUUAUUUGCUCAAAACAAAAGAUGAAGCAUAUCCUACUUUUCUCAAGUUUCAAGCUCUCAUUGAAAAUCAAUUUAAUACCAAGAUUAAGGCUGUCCAAUCUGAUUGGGGAGGUGAGUUUCGAUCUCUCUCCAUACCGUUUUCAAAUAUGGGCAUUGUCUAUUGUUUAUCGUGUCCAUACACCUCACAACAGAAUGGGCGAGUUGAGCGAAAAAAUCGCCAUGCGAUUGUCCUUUCUUGCUUGCUCUAUGCCCUUAUCUUAUUGGCCUUAUGCCUUUCAAACUGCCACUUACCUUAUUAAUCGUCUCUCUACCCCUGUGCUGCAUCAUCAAUCCUCUUACUUCGCACUCUAUCACAAACUCCCAACUUAUACUCAUCUUAAGGUCUUUGGUUCCUCUUGUUUUCCGUAUUUGCACCCUUAUAAUACCCAUAAACUCCAAUACAGGUCACUAGAGUGUGCUUUUCUUGGUUACAGUUCACACCACAAAGGUUAUCUAUGUCUUGACAUUCAUUCUAGCAGGGUGUAUAUUUCUCGCCAUGUGAUUUUUAAUGAAGAUUCUUUUCCAUUCAAGAAUUUGAAAUCUUCUCUCUCUCAGUCUAUUUCUUCUUCCUCUUCUUUAUAAGUUCCUCUGUUCAUUCUCUUGCCUCCCCUUUCCCCAUCUCCUCUUAUUUCUUCAUCUAUACCUCAUUCUUUUCCCUCUUCUUCUUCUACCUCUAGUACUUGUUCCCCUCUCGUUGCUCCUACCUCUCUUCCUUCCUCUUCACACUCUGUGUCUCCAUCUAUUCCACCUCCUUCUCCACCUUCUCCGAGUGUGGACCUGCUUGCACCUUGUGUGAAUACAAAUUUACAUACUUCUUCUCGCACUCACAAUAUUCAUCCUAUGGUGACUAGAUCUAAGGUUUGUAUCUAUAAACCUAAGUUGUUGUUGAGUGUCUCCAUAGGUUCUCUCACUAAGCCUACUUCCUUUCUUCAAGCUAUUAAAGAUCCUUCAUGGAAGCAAUCCAUGGAAUUCGAGUUUGCUACCCUUCAACACAACAAGACCUGGCAUUUGGUUCCUUCACCUUCCUCAGGCGAAGUAAUCGGUUGUAAAUGGGUCUAUAAGCUAAAGCUUCAGCCUGAUGGCUAAAUUGAGAGAUACAGCCUGCUUAGUAGCUAAGGGUAUCAUCAAAUUGAAGUAUGGACUACUUCGAAACAUUCAGCCUGAUNNNNNNNNNNNNNNNNNNNNNNNNNNNNNNNNNNNNNNNNNNNNNNNNNNNNNNNNNNNNNNNNNNNNNNNNNNNNNNNNNNNNNNNNNNNNNNNNNNNNAGCUUCAGCCUGAUGGCUAAAUUGAGAGAUACAAGGCCUGCUUAGUAGCUAAGGGUUAUCAUCAAAUUGAAGGUAUUGACUACUUCGAAACAUUCAGCCUGAUUGUCAAGCUUUCUACUAUCUGUAUUGUGCUCAGUCUUACUUUUUCCCAGAAUUGGUGUAUUAGACAGCUGGAUGUUCAUAAUGCCUUCUUACAUGGUGACUUAGCUAAAGACGUUUUCAUGGAACAACUGCCUGGAUUUGUUGAUCCUCUCUAUCCUACUCAUGUCUGCAAGUUGGAUAAGUCUCUCUACUGUCUUAAAUAGUCACCUCGGGCUUGGUAUACUAAGCUGAGUACUUCUCGCUACACUUGGGAUUUGUUACUUCUAAGAAUGACUCUUCCUUAUUUAUUUGUCAUUCGUCUCAUGGGUUACUUCUUGUUCUUGUCUAUGUGGAUGAUAUAAUCGUCAUUGGGAGCCACUCUCCUCAGGUUACUCACCUUAUCCAACAGUUGCAUCAUUAGCUUUCUUUAAAGGAUCUUGGUCCUUUACAUUAUUUUCUGGGCUUGGAGGUUCAUCACACCCCUACUGGUAUUCACCUCAGCCAAGCAAAGUAUAUCACUGAUCUCCUUACCCGGGCGGCUAUGUUGGAUGCCAAGCCAUGUCCCACUCCUAUGUCCUCCAACACAUAUCUCUCUUUUCAUGAUGGAGUGGCUCUUGAAAAUGGUUCAGAUUAUCGAAGUUUUGUUGGUGCCCUUUAGUAUUGUACCAUGACACGCCCAGAUAUAGCUUUUGCAAUAAAUAAAGUGUGUCAAUUCAUGCACCAUCCCUCUAAUGUUCACUGGCAGGCUAUAAAACGUAUUCUCCGGUACUUAAAGGGCACAUCUCAUUUUGGUCUCUUCCUACAGCCUUCCUAUGACUUCAACAUCACUUGCUAUACAAAUGCCGACUGGGCUUCCUGUCCUGAUGACAAGUGUAGCACCAGUGGCUACUGCCUCUUUCUUGCCUCUAAUCUGGUUUCUUGGUCAUCUUCCAAACAAAAAGUGGUCUCCCGCUCCAGCGCCGAAUCAGAGUACCGAGGGGUAGCAAAUGGGGCUGCUGAAAUUGCUUGGACUGAAUCUCUUCUUUGUGAACUUUCCAUUACUCCCCCUCCCCUCAUUCUCUGUGACAAUAUCAGUGCCACGUACUUAGCUGCCAAUCCUAUUUUGCAUGCCCGCACCAAACAUGUGGAAAUCGACUAUCACUUUGUCACGGAACGUGUUCUUCAAUGCUCUCUUUUUGUCCAGUUUACACCUUCUGAUGAUCAACUUGCUGAUUGCAUGACCAAGCCUCUCUCCACCCAACGUUUCAUCACUCUACGCUCCAAGCUCACUGUUCUCACUAGACCAAUGAGCUUGAGGGGGGAUGUUAAGCCUAAAGAUGUAAUUAGUUAGGAUAUUCUUUUCCCUCUAGUCUUGUAGCUCCACGUGUACAGUUGGUUAGGACCUCAUUGUAUAUAAUGCCUGCCCUGUUAUUGUAGAAGACAACAGAGAUAAAUAAUAUUAACAUUUUUCCUCUCAUCUCUCUCUCUGUUUCCCUCUGUUUUCAUCUCCUCUCUCAUCUGAACCAAAUGAUCCAUGUUAACCUUGGCUUGGUUUGAUUUGGCUCUAUCUUAGAGAGCUCAAGGAUCACGUCAACUCUGGUUUCUACUAUUCAGGUCCAUUCCCAUAUGAACUGGUUCAAAUUUGAGAAAAUGGUAACAGACCUUUAGUGAUGUUGGUUUGGAGCCAGUUGCCAAACCCGCCCUGAGCUUUACCACUAAUGUCAAGGGAGAAAGCCAUUUGAACAAAAACAAUAGCUUCAAGGGACUGAAUCGUGGAUGAAAUCUGAUCCACAUUUCUUCUCAUUUUGGAAACAAAUGAGAACUUAACUAAGAAGAUUCUACGGCCUCAUAGUGCUUUUCCUGAUCUAAGGUUGGUUCGUUUCCCAAACUGUGAGAUGCACGUGCCAGACUUCAGAACUCUCACGCUCAGGAGUGUAUCCACGUGGUGGACAUAAGAUGGUGGCUUAAGAUCUGGUGUCGGUGGCUUUACUUUACUAGGAGAGUAGUGUGUCUUCAUCUCAUUCACUGCCGGAGGGUGGCGUAAGCAGUGACGCUAAGGUGGGGCACAGUCAAUAUCAUUUGCAUUUGACCAUUAUAGUUUUCUCCCGGCUUUAAAGUAACCUUAUCGUGAUAAAGGAUUACUAGCACUAGUUCAGAUGAUAGUCAUGUUAAAUUCGGACCAUGUUUGUGUCACAUUAUCAGCAACCAUGUGUUUAUGGUUCAUGCUUUCUGCAACUAAAAUUGAUAUAUAACCAGGUGAACUUCAAUCUAAAUUCUGAAAGUACUCAUGUGAUAGAUGGUGCCCGUCUGCAGAGUCCAUCAAUUGAAAAAUGGAGUGAGUGUAUCUAUAAGAGGGAAGGCUUGGAAAAUGUUCAGUUUUCUGGGAAUUCAACAAGGAUCUAAAAUAGAUUGUUUUCUUUGCUGAUUUCAAUGGUUGAAAUUUGAGAAGAUUGUGUCCACAUAACACAACUAUUACUGGUCCUUCUGUUGCAAUUUAUCCUCUAAAGCUCUAGCAUGUCUUCCAAUUCCCACUUCCCUGUUACUCCAGGAAAGCUAUUUCUGUCAUUGUGAAGAAGAAAAGAGAAUGUACAUAUCGAUGCUUUUAAGUGACUGGAGCAUUUAUAUCAGGUGGUCUGCAGCCAUAUAUGCCACUUUGUGAAGAUUGGAACAGUCAAUCACUAGGCUAUAUAUUAGUGUGGCCCAGCCACUUUAAUCAAGGACAAGUCUUCAUACUUAAAGUCAAAUUCUGCCUUUAGUCUCAUUAUAAAUUUCUGUUUAAAUAUUAAGCAAACAUUUGUUUAAUGCGAUUAAGACAGUACUAACUCAAUACCUGUUCUAUUUUUGGAUGCAAAUGCUUGAUGGUUUCAUCAUUGGAUGGGAUAAAGGUGCAUUCAUGAUUAGGAAUACUAGUAGUUAUAUUUUAAUUCUCUUUUUUCUCAAUGAGACUUGUUGGCACAAUUUUGCUGUUGAGAAACCUACCUCUCCAUGGAAAAUAAGUUGUGAUUGAUAGUACUGGAUAUAUUCAAGAAAUCUAAAUAUAGAUAGCACAAAAUAUUAUCGACAUAAAUAGCAUUAACAGCGUACGUAUGUCUCAGUGCUCAUCAGCUAUAAGCAUGGGGCAAACACUUACUAUGAGCAACUUACGUCAAAAUUCCAGAAUAGGACAUAGAAGUGACAGAUAUAGAACAUUGCAUAUGAGUCACAAGAAAGGAAAUUACGGGUGCAUAGCAGCUCUUAUUUUACAUACUACUACUCAUACUGAUCAAAGUCACUCAGUUGGGAUGGGUGGGAGUAGGAGGUUUGUGGGGUGGCUUGUGCGGAGGAGUUGGCAGCUUCUUUCCAGGACCUGGUUGCUUCUCUGCUGGAGUUGAAGGAGGCUUAAUCUUCCGAGGUGGCUUGUAUGAGUCUUCAGCAUUCUCAGCUGGAGGGUGACCAGGGUUGUGACCAUAAUGUGGUGGCUUCUCUCCCUUAGGUGGUUUGCCAACUGGGGUUGGUGGCUUGUAUGAGUCUUCAGCAUUCUCAGCAGGAGGGUGACCAGGGUUGUGACCAUAAUGUGGUGGCUUCUCUCCCUUAGGUGGUUUGCCAACUGGGGUUGGUGGCUUGUGUUCUGGGAGUGGCUUCUCCCCCUUGGGAGGUUUUUCCAAUGGGGUUGGUUUGUGUUCAGGAGGUGGCUUCUCCACUGGAGGCUUGUGUUCAGGAGGUGGCUUCUCCACCGGAGGCUUGUGUUCAGGUGGUGGCUUCUCCACCGGAGGCUUAUGCUCUGGUGGUGGCUUCUCGAAUGGGGGAUGCUUAGGAUAAUCAGCAAGUGAGGGGGCGGUGAGAACCACCAGGCCAAGCAACACCACUAGCAAAUAUGUAGGAGACAUCUUUGGGUUUGGGCUCAGAUGGUGCAAAACUAGGAGAAUUGGCUAGCCUUUUAUAGCGGAUCGUACCCAAUAAUGAAAUGACACGUGUCAUUAUGACCCAUGUGUAAUGGGGUCGAUUUGGGUCCUACAGUGUUGAAAACUUCGACAUCCACUUUUGGCCUUUUGCUUUCUCUACAGCCGCCUUGCUUUUUCCCUCUUUCCUUUUGUUUUCCUCCUGCCCCAUUCUAUCAACUAAACACAAUUAUGUAGUUGUUUAAUUCUUAAAUGAGAUAUUAUCCGUCAAUCGUAUUAUAUUUUAUCAAGAGAGAACGGAGUGCAAUGUGGCUGUAAUUUUAUCGUUUAGUUUUAUCUCUUGGACCACUGCAUUUUUGUUAAGAGGUGCAAUAAUACACGUCUUUAUCUGCCAUUCAAUAUUUACAGUAAAGAGAGGGCACAAAACUCUUCACUUCGCACCAUAAUUAUUUUGUUUUCUGGACACCCCGGGGCCCUUUGGUUGGUUUGGGGGUCAGAAAGUGAACAUCAUAGGGGGUUUUUCCCUUAUGUGCAUUUGUAUCUGAUGGCUUUAACUCGCCUUGUUACUACAAAGAAACUGUCACAGAUAGGAACUUAUUCCAGGCUGAGUAUCUCCUCAUAGACCCUAUAAAAGAAGACAAGUCAUAAUGAACAUCUAACCUUUGUUCAAUUUGAUUCAAUGCCCCCAUUGUGUCCAUCUCACAAAUCUGAAUUAUUAUAUCCAUUGAAUACAUAAAUUAAUGAAGAAAAUAUGAAACCCAAGAUACAUCUCUGCACAACCUCAACCCUGGUUGCUAUGUUUCCCUUCUAUUCACAUGAUUUGAUGCUAAUUGCCAAACUUGCAACAAGCCCUGAGUUUGACACCUAGUAUCGAUGGGCGAAUUUAAAGUCUCCUCCAAACAUAUAUUCCACAGCUUGAAGCUCACAGAAGAUGUUACAGGCAGGGAAAAACCUUCAGAGUUCGCUACCAAAGAUAAUUAUUAAGGAGAUAUCACAAAGAGAAUUCCAAGGGGUCUGAAUCAAAGACAAAUUGGUCGUUCGUGGGGGUUCUUACUUUCUUUUGGGUAUAACUCACUGAGGGCACUGUCUUUGUUAUUUGCAUUUCACAUUUAGAGUUCUGUUCUGGAAACAUAUAAAAGGAGCAUCAUUUUGUUCUUGGGUAACCCAUAGUCGUGAGUGGGUCCAUUUGCAUGCUACUUAGUUGAAAAGUUGGACCAUUUGCUCCGACGCCUACCUCCCGGAUUCCAUGCUCGGAUAAAACAAGAAUAAAAAAAAUAUUUAUAAUUUACAAAUGGGGGAAAGAAAAAAAUGUCAACAACAAACCAGGAAAAAAGAGUAGUAAAAUUCAUGUCACAUGCUAGUGAGAGAAGGGGUUGUUACACUCACUCGAAGUUCUUUCCAAAAUAUCGCAUGGUAUUUUAUUUUAUGUGUCAGCGCAGUUGUGAAUGGAACGUGCAAAAGUCCAAAUUGGCGUUUUUCCUUUUCCCGUGUAGGAUGGCGACCUUUAAUAAAUAUUUAAAACAAAAAACGAAAAAAAGGAGGGAAAAGGGAUCAGAAAAGAUAAAACAAUGUGUACAAGAGCUCAAUUAGUUUGCAAAUUACUGUUUGGAUUUUGAUAGUAUUUUAUUUGUCCAUCUAUAUUUGAUGGAAAAGAGAAUUUAAGAUAUUUCUGAAACAAAAGCAUUAGUGUAAAACUAAAUUAAGGUAUAAUUAAGUUAGUUCAAUGCAUUAAUUUAAGAAACUUGAUCUAUCCAAAGUACAAAAUUAGAUGAAAUCCAUUUCAAUGGUUAAAAUGAUCAAAAUCAAACUUUUUCUAAGUAUUUUUUAAAAGCAUCAAUAUUAAAAGACAAUUUUAUAUUUAGUCGGAGUUUGGACAAAACCAAAAAGCACACAAAAUCCAAGCGACCAUCUCUAGCUUGGAUAGUCACUUGAUCCCACCUAGAGAUGUGCAUGAGUAAAAGGAUUUGAAAAUGGAAAUUGACUAAAUAUUUAGUUGAUCAAUUAAAUUUGCAAUGUCAUAUGCAAUCCUAAUAGCUAGUCAUCUAAUCAAUUAGGUAGUCAAUCAAGUGUUUGUAAUGACUAUUUUGUACAAAAAACCACAUGUAUAGUUAAAUAUAAUGCAUUUCAUUUAUAAAUCUUCUAAUUCUUGAAUAACGAUCCUAUCAUCCUUUGAAAAUUUUUAUUACACCUUUUUUACUUUUGUUCUAAAACUUACAUAUCACCCUUAAUUGUACCAUGAGAACCUAGCUAUUUUUUUUUUUUUUGUAAUUCAUCAAAGUUAGCUUUUGUAUUCAUUGUUGUAUUAUUUUUAGUAUAACUUAGAAAGCUAGUGUUUUCAAGUGAGUAAAAUUAACUUGUAAAUAUUGUAAAGAUUCAUUGAUAUGUAUCUUAAACUAAGUGUACAAAUUAAAACAUUUGCUAGUAGAUUUUCUCAAAAUUUAGAAUAGAGCUUGAGGCUAUUGAAAUAGGUGGGGUUACACCAAACCACAUCACAUCGUUGUUUGCACCUUUUUUCACUCUCUUUUACUUAGUUUCUCUAUAUUUGUUGUCUAGUAAUAUCCUAUAGGCUUGAUGGGUUAGGGAGCAUCCCUUUGUGAAAAAAUUUCAUUCAAUUCUUAGUUGUAUUACGCAUAUAUAAAAUGCCUCAUUGUUUUAAUGGUAUUCAGUCGUGGCAUCACAGAUAUGGGCAUCUAAAUUUUAAAAGUUUGAAACUUUUGUAAAGCAUGUUGAUAAAAUCCAUGAGAGUUGUGUACUUGGGAAGCAACAUCGAGGUGACUUUAUUUUUUUUUCCUUUUAUAAUGCCACACCUAAGUCCGGUUUCUAAAUGCUAAAGUGAAAGGGUAGGUAUGGACCAUUGAAAUGUGAUCACAACUUUUGGCCUUUUCCUUUCUCUGCAGCCAUGUUGUCUCUUUUUUCUUUUGCAUGAUUUUCUUACCAAAACAGAAUCAUAGACUUGUUUAGUCUCUAAGCUACUAUAUUAUAUCUCGGUGGACUUUUAAGAGUGCAACCGACAUAGAGCACAUGCAAGUGGGCAUAUGGGACAUGAAAUUUCUUCUUACAAAGAUUGCAUGAUUUUUAUAUUAGAGUUGUUCACGUGCAAUGUAUUUAGCUUGUUUUGCAGUUAAAUUAAUUGGAUAAGUAAACAUUGGCAUUUCUAAAUCGACUGUGAAGUGCUUCAUGUACGUGUAAAGUAUUAGAAAUUUCUUUCUUGGCAACUUGUUUUUUCCUUGCCAUCUACUGGUAGGUUUGACUAAAAUUAUAUUCCCUGUCAUGCUAAUUAAUUUUCAUGUGCAUGCUCAAAAGAAGAGUAUGACCUUAGUGCACCAAAAUCACUUUGAUUAAUUUGUGAUAGGUUUUUUUGCAUCAUUUAGAUAAUGUUUAGUUCUAAGAAAAAUUUAUAUAAAAAUGGUUUAUUUAUCUUACAUAUAUAUAUAUAUAUAUAUAUUUUUUUUUUUUUCAUUUUUUUUUCUUCUAUUUUAUUUAUUUAUUUUAUUUUCCUUAUGUUUUCCUCACAUUUUCCGGAACUAAACAUAGUCUUACGAAAUCAACAAUUGCCUUCAACUGAGUAGAUUCUGUUGUUUUAGCAAUGUUAGGCUGCUAACUUGUGGUGGUACGAACCAAAUGACCCAUGUUAAUCUUGGCUUGGUUUGAUUUGGCUCUAUCUCAGAGAGCUAAAGGAUCACGUCAACUCUGGUUUCUACUAUUCAGGUCCAUUCCCAGAUGAACUGGUUCAAAUUUGAGAAAAUGGUAACAGACCUUUAGUGAUGUUGGUUUGGAGCCAGUUGCCAAACCCGCCCUGAGCUUUACCACUAAUGUCAAGGGAGAAAGCCAUUUGAACAAAAACAAUAGCUUCAAGAGACUGAAUCGUGGAUGAAAUCUGAUCCACAUUUCUUCUCAUUUUGGGAAAAAAUGAGAACUUAACUACAAAGAUUCUACUGCCUCAUUCAUAGUGCUUUUCCUGAUCCAAGGUUGGUUCGUUUCCCAAAUUGUGAGGUGCACGUGCCACUCUCACGCUCAGGAGUGUAUCCACGUGGUGGACAUCAGAUGGUGGCUUAAUAUCUGGUGUCGGUGGCUUUACUUUACUAGGAGAGUAGUGUGUCUUCAUCUCAUUCACUGCCGGAGGGUGGCGUAAGCAGUGACGCUAAGGUGGGGCACAGUCAAUAUCAUUUGCAUUUGACCAUUAUAGUUUUCUCCCGGCUUGAAAGUAACCUUAUCGUGAUAAAGGAUUACUAGCACUAGUUCAGAUGACCGUCAUGUUAAUUCGGACCAUGUUUGUGUCACAUUAUCAGCAACCAUGUGUUUAUGGUUCAUGCUAUCUGCAACUAAACUUGAUAUAUAACCAGGUGAACUUCAAUCAAAAUUCUGGAAGUACUCUUGUGAUAGAUGGUGCCUGUCUGCAGAGUCCAUCAAUUGAAAAAUGGAGUGAGUGUAUCUAUAAGAGGGAAGGCUUGGCAAAUGUUCAGUUUUCUGGGAAUUCAACAAGGAUCUAAAAUAGAUUGUUUUCUUUGCCGACUUCAAUGGUUGAAAUUUGAGAAGAUUGUGUCCACAUAUCACAACUAUUACUGGUCCUUCUGUUGCAAUUUAUCCUGUAAGGCUCUAACAUGUCUUCCAAUUCCCACUUCCCUGUUACUCCAGGAAAGCUAUUUCUGUCAUUGUGAAGAAGAAAAGAGAAUGUACAUAUCGAUGCUUUUAAGUGACUGGAGCAUUCAUAUCAGGUGGUCUGCAGCCAUAUAUGCCACUUUGUGAAGGUUGGAACAGUCAAUCACUAGGCUAUAUAUUGGUGUGGCCCAGCCACUUCAAUCAAGGACAAGUCUUCAUACUUAAAGUCAAAUUCUGCCUUUAGUCUCAUUAUAAAUUGCUGUUUAAAUAUUAAGCAAACUUUUGUUUAAUGCGAUUAAGACAGUACUAACUCAAUACUUGUUCUAUUUUUGGAUGCAAAUGCUUGAUGGUUUCAUCAUUGGAUGGGAUAAAGGUGCAUUCAUGAUUAUGAAUACUUGUAGUUAUAUUUUCAUUCUCUUUUUUCUCAAUGAGACUUGUUGGCACAAUGUUGCUGUUCAGAAACCUACCUCUCCAUGGAAAAUAAGUUGCGAUUGAUAGUACUGGAUAUGUUCAAGAAAGCUAAAUAUAGAUAGCACAAAAUAUUAUCGAUAUAAAUAGCAUUAACAGCGUACGUAUGUCUCAAUGCUCAUCAGCUAUAAGCAUGGGACAAACACUUACUAUGAGCAACUUACGUCAAAAUUCCAGAAUAGGACAUAGAAGUGACAGAUCUAUAUAUAUAGAACACUGCAUAUGAGUCACAAGAAAGGAAAUUACGGGUGCAUAGCAGCUCUUAUUUUACAUACUACUACUCAUACUGAUCAAAGUCACUCAGUUGGGAUGGGUGGGAGUAGGAGGUUUGUGGGGUGGCUUGUGCGGAGGAGUUGGCAGCUUCUUUCCAGGACCUGGUUGCUUCUCUGCUGGAGUUGAAGGAGGCUUAAUCUUCCGAGGUGGCUUGUAUGAGUCUUCAGCAUUCUCAGCUGGAGGGUGACCAGGGUUGUGACCAUAAUGUGGUGGCUUCUCUCCCUUAGGUGGUUUGCCAACUGGGGUUGGUGGCUUGUAUGAGUCUUCAGCAUUCUCAGCAGGAGGGUGACCAGGGUUGUGACCAUAAUGUGGUGGCUUCUCUCCCUUAGGUGGUUUGCCAACUGGGGUUGGUGGCUUGUGUUCUGGGAGUGGCUUCUCCCCCUUGGGAGGUUUUUCCAAUGGGGUUGGUUUGUGUUCAGGAGGUGGCUUCUCCACUGGAGGCUUGUGUUCAGGAGGUGGCUUCUCCACCGGUGGCUUGUGUUCAGGAGGUGGCUUCUCCACCGGAGGCUUAUGCUCUGGUGGUGGCUUCUCCACCGGAGGCUUAUGCUCUGGUGGUGGCUUCUUGAAUGGGGGAUGCUGAGGGUAAUCAGCAAGUGAGGGGGCGGUGAGAACCACCAGGCCAAGCAACACCACUAGCAAAUAUGUAGGAGACAUCUUUGGGUUUGGGCUCAGAUGGUGCAAAACUAGGAGAAUUGGCUAGCCUUUUAUAGCGGAUCGUACUCAAUAAUGAAAUGACACGUGUCAUUAUGACCCAUGUGUAAUGGGGUCGAUUUGGGUCCUACAGUGUUGAAAACUUCGACAUCCAGUUUUGGCCUUUUGCUUUCUCUACAGCCGCCUUGCUUUUUCCCUCUUUCCUUUUGUUUUCCUCCUGCCCCAUUCUAUCAACUAAACACAAUUAUGUAGUUGUUUAAUUCUUAAAUGAGAUAUUAUCGGUCAAUCGUAUUAUAUUUUAUCAAGAGAGAACGGAGUGCAAUGCAGCUGUAAUUUUAUCGUUUACUUUUAUCUCUUGGACCACUGCAUUUUUGUUAAGAGGUGCAAUAAUACACGUCUUUAUCUGCCAUUCAAUGUUUACAGUAAAGAGAGGGCACAAAACUCUUCACUGCUCUGCAUGUGUCCCAAAAAUGCGAUUGGACAAAUUAUGAUUUGCAUGCUAAAAAGAGGCAAAUGAGGUUAAUUCGCACCAUAAUUAUUUGGUUUUCUGGACACCAUAAAAAGAUGUUAUACAGGCAGGGAAAAACCUUCAGAGUUAGCUACCAAAGAUAAUUAUCAAGCAGAUAUCACCAAGAGAAUUCCAUAGAGUCUGAAUCAAAGACAGAUUGCUCGCUCGUGGGGGUUCUUACUUUCUUUUGGGUAUAACUCACUGAGGUCACUGUCUUUUUUAUUUGCAUUUCACAGUUAGAGUUCUGCUCUGGAAGGUUUGUUCUGGAAACAUAUAAAAGGAGCAUCAUUUUGUUCUUGGGUAACCCAUAGUCGUGAGUGGGUCCAUUUGCAUGCUACUUAGUUGAAAAGUUGGACAAUUUGCUCCGACGCCUACCUCCUGGAUUCCAUGCUCGGUAAAACAAGAAUAAAAAAAAAUAUAUAAUUUACAAAUGGGGGAAAGAAAAAAUGUCGGAAAAAAUAGUAAAAUUCAUGUCACAUGCUAGUGAGAGAAGGGGUUGUUACACUCACUCGAAGUUCUUUUCAAAAUAUCGAAUGGUAUUUUACUUUAUGUGUCAGCGCAGUUGUGAAUGGAACGUGCAAAAGUCCAAAUUGGCGUUUUUAUUUUUCCCAUGUAGGAUGGUGACCUUUAAUAAAUAUUUAAAACAAAAGACGAAAAAAAAAAGGAGGGAAAAGGGAUCACAAAAGAUAAAAUAAUGUUUACAAAAGCUCAAUUAGUUUGCAAAUUACUGUUUGGAUUUUGAUAGUAUUUUAUUUGUCGUUCUAUAUUUGAUGUAAAAGAGAAUUUAAGAUAUUUCCGAAGCAAAAGCAUUAGUUUGCUCUGUGAUGUCCCACAUCGAAUAGGGGAGAAAGUUUCUGGCGCUAUAUAUGUAGAGGCUCCUCUUAACCAAGUAGAUGCGUUUUAAAACCAUGAGGGCCCCCUUAGGUCCAAAGCGGACAAUAUCUACAUGAUUGGGUGUAAGUCAUUACAAAUGGUAUCAGAGCCGAUCCCCGACCCCGGUGUGGGGGUUUGUUUGGCCCUGUAAGGGGUGUUUGUCUGUUUGACCCCACAAUCCCAUGGGACACAACGAGGACGUUGUGUCUGCAUGGGGGGGCGUUUGUGAUGUCCCACAUCGGAUAGGGGAGAAAGUUCCUAGUGCUAUAUAUGUAGAUGUUUCUCUUAACCAAGUAGAUGCAUUUUAAAAUUGUGAGGGCCUCUUUGGGCCCAAAGCGGACAAUAUCUACAUGGUUGAGUGUAAGUCAUUACAUGCUCCAUGUCAAUUUCAGCAUUUCUCAUAUGUUUCACACAUACACAGAAGAGCAUCGUUUUUUAAAGCAUGCAUUUAUGUUGGAUUAAUUUGGAUUUUGUGGGAACUGGGGCAAGGAUCACAUGGAAGAGAGGUUGACUUUUUUCAGUACUUCAAUGGUUGAAAUAUGUGAAGGCUUGAUUGAUACUAAAGCUUGAAAUUGCGACUCUGUCAUUUGUAAAAAAAUAUGACAGCUUCCAUGCUCUCGUUUGGUUGCAUUGUCCGGUCGAGAGGUGCAAAAAGCAUUCUCUCUCUUCUAAUAGUCUUUUCGUUUAAAUCAAGGGAUUUGCCUUCCCGGUCGAGGUCCAAUAGAGGGUAACGGUCACCUACUAAACAUUAAAUGCUCCAACAACUAGUGAACUGAUCGACCCCAGCUCGACUAGUUGAGGUUACUUUUUGGUUUUCUUGUCUCCCGAGGUUAGAAACCUAUAAAUAGAGAGCUUCACUUCAUUUAUGAGUAAGAGAACACCUAAAUUUAUUUGUUUACCUACUUGUUUUUGCCAUAAAAGCUCUCAUUUCUUUUCUUGGUGUAUUAAAUCUCCAUUUGCAUAUCCUUUAGUGCACCUUUGUGAUUCAUUCUAGCCUUGAGUUGUAUUUAAGCCUUUGUUGAGCUAGGUUGAGAGUUUCAUACUUGUUUAUUGAGUGUUAAAGCCUUCAAGUGAGUUAAAACUUGAAGAGAUUGUGUAAGAGCCCAUUGGAGUCGGAAUCCAAGUGUAAAGGUGAUUAAAAGCUUGGUUGAAGCUUCAAGUUAGUGGAACUCUCACUCGGUUAUGAGCUUGAGAAGAGUGGACAUAGACAAGGCAGUGUCGAACCACUAUAAAAUCUGAGUUUGAUUUCUCUAACCUUAUCUCUUUAUAUUUGCUUCUCUUGUGCUUAAAUUUUUUGUGUUUAAAAAGAAUUUUUAAAAACUCAAUUCACCCCCUUCUUGGGAGUUUUUCUCUUUUAAGAUCAGCUUUUAUUUUCUCAAUUGGUAUCAGAACUAUGCCUCUUGUUUAAGACUUAAUCGUCUAAGAGGAAAUGGCUAAUCCAUCAAGUUCAUCUCACAUUGAAAGUUUUGCAACCAAUAGACUUCUUUUUUUUUUUUUGCGGGAACUGAUUAUCCCUAUUGGAAAACUAAAAUGACUUGGUUUUUACAAUCAAUUGAUUUAGAUGUAUGAGAUGCCAUUGAAGAUGACCUAACUUUUCCUUCAAAACUAGUUGAUGGAGUCAUGGUUCCAAAACCUAAGCAAGAAUGGGAUGAGCGUGAUUGAAGAAAUUUUCAAUUAAAUGCUAAAGUCGUUUAUACUUUGCAAUGCUCUAUGGACAGAAAUGAAUAUAAUAGAAUAUGUCAAUGCAAAUCGGUUAAAGAAAUUUGGAGAUUGCUUGAAAUAACUCAUAAAGGAACAAAUCAAGUUAAAGAGUCAAAAAUCAAUUUACUUGUUCAUAGAUAUGAAUUGUUUUUUAUGAAAGAUAAUGAAACUAUUGUUAAGAUGAUCACUAGGUUCACCAACAUUGUUAAUGGUCUUAAAGCCUUGGGAAAGACCUACAAGGAAUCCGAAAACGUGAUGAAGAUCUUGAGGUCACUUCCAUCAAAGUGGCAUACCAAGGUCACCGCAAUUUAAGAAGCAAAAGACUUGAUCAAGCUACCUUUGGAGGAGUUCAUAGGGUCAUUGAUGACAUAUGAAAUCAAUUUGGCAAAGAAGUAACAAAAAGGUGAAGACAAAAAGAAGAAGAACAUAACUCUCAAAGCUACAACUAAGGAAGAAGAAGUUGAAGAAGAAAAACAAAUUGAAGAAGAUGAAGAUUUAGCCCUCAUCACAAGAAAGUUCAACAAAUUCAUGAGGGGUGAAAGGUUUAGAAGAAGAAGGUUCACUUCUAGAAGAGACUUUUCUAAAAAGGAAUCUUCAUCUAAUGGUGACAAAAAGAGAUGGGAAGAGAAAAGAGACUUGGUGUGUUUCAAGUGCAAGAAACCGGGACACAUUAAAUAUGAUUGUCCUCUCUACAAAAGUGAAGUCAAGAGGAAAAAGAAUAAGGCAAUGAUGGCCACUUAGAGUGAAAGUGAAGAUGAAUCAUCCGAAGAAGAAAAUGAGAAAGAAGUGGCAAACAUGUGUUUCAUGGCAAUAGAUGAACUUGAUGAGGUAAAAUCUAACCUUAGUGAUUAAGAUAUACAUGAUGCAUUUGAAGAAUUGUAUGAGGAUUUUUAAAAACUUAGUUUGAAAAAUAUUUCUCUUAAAAAGAAAGUUCAACAACUUGACAAAGAACUUAGAGAAGUAAAAGAAAAAUUUUCAAAUGUUAAAGUUUCUAAAACUCAUCUUGAAAAAGAAAAUGAGAUUCUAAGAAAGAAAAAUGAAUAGUUGAACUCCUCUCUUUCAAUCUUUUCUUCUAGACAAAAAUCUUUUGAAAUGAUUCUAACUAGCUAAAAAUGUGUUUUUGACAAACAAGGGUUAAGAUUUAAAUCUUCAAAAAAUCAAAAGUAUUUUAAAAACUAUUUUGUAAAGGAAUCCACAAGUGCAAGUCCUUCCACUACUUGCAACUUUUGUGGAAGAGAAUGGCACAUUAGUAGUACGCCCUUUAAGAAAUGGUUCUCAAAAGAAUUUAAAUGCAAAAACUAAAAAAGAUUUGGAUUGAGAAAUCCAAGGUCACUAACCCUCAAGGACCCAAAAAGAUAUAGGUACCUAAAUCAACUUGAGUUUUAUGUUGUAAGGUUCAAAGAAUGAUAAGUGGUUCUUAGAUAAUGGUUGCUCAAGACACAUGACCGGAGAUGAAUCCAAGUUUGCUUUUCUUAAAAAGAAAAAUGGAGGAUAUGUUACCUUUGGAGACAAUGCAAAAGAAAGGAUGAUUGGUCAAGGCAACAUUGGUAAUGGCACAUCCUCUCUCAUUGAAAGUGUUUUAUUAGUAGAUGGUUUCAAACAUAACCUUUUAAGCAUUAGUCAAUUUUGCGACAAAGGUUUUUAAGUGAUUUUUUAAGCAUCUCAUUGCAUCAUCAAGGAUAUUCAAAAUGAUAAAACCAUUUUCAUGGGCCAUAGAUGUGAUAAUGUUUAUGCUAUAAAUAUUUCAAAAUAUGAUGGCCAUGAUAGAUGUUUUUCAAGCAUGCAUGAUCAAAGUUGGUUGUGCCAUAGGAGAUUGAGACAUGCUAACAUAGACCUCAUUUCCCAACUCAACAAAGAUGAACUUGUUAGAGGCCUUCCCAAAAUAAUUUUUUAAAAAGAUAAAGUUUGUGAAGCUUGUCAAGUGGGAAAGUAAAUCAAAAACUCUUUUAAAAACAAAAACUUCAUUUCCACAUCUAGGCCACUUGAGUUGUUGCAUAUGGAUUUAUUUGGUCCCUCUAGGACACCAAGUCUUAGAGGAAAUUCUUAUGCAUAUGCUAUUGUGGACGACUUCUCUAGAUACACAUGAGUCUUGUUUUUUAGUCAAAAGAAUAAAGUUUUUUAUGAGUUUUCAAAGUUUUGCAAUAAGAUUCAAAAUGAAAAAGGUUUUUCAAUUACUUAUAUAAGAAGUGAUCAUGGGAGAGAAUUCGAAAAUAUUGAUUUUGAAGAGUAUUGCAAUGAGCAUGGAAUUGACCACAAUUUUUUGGCUCUUAGAACUCCUCAACAAAAUGGGGUAGUUGAAAGGAAAAAUAGAACUCUUCAAAAAAUGACAAGAACCAUACUAAAUGAAAACAACUUACCAAAAUAUUUUUAGGCCAAAACGGUUAACACUUCUUGUUAUGUUUUAAAUAGAGUAUUAUUGAGGCUCAUACUUAAGAAAACUCCCUAUGAGCUUUGGAAAAACAAAAAACCCAACAUUAGUUAUUCCAAAGUCUUUGGAUGCAAUAUUUUAUAAUAAACACCAAAGACAAUCUUGGAAAAUUUGAUGCAAAAUUGGAUGUUGGAAUUUUCCUUGGUUACUCAACUUCAAGUAAAGCUUUUCGAGUUUUAACAAAAGAACCAUGGUUGUAGAGGAGUCCAUCCAUGUUAUUUUUUAUGAAUCUCCAAGAAAGAGAGAGGAUUGAUGAUGAUUUAGGUUUGAAGACCUCUAUAGGAAGAUUGCAAAUCGAAGAUAGAAGACAACAAGAAGAAAAUGGAGAGAAUCCAAAGAAAGAAGGAUCACCAUUGGCACUACCCCCUCAUCAACAAGCGCAAGGUGAAUCAAGUCAAGAGCUUCCUAAAGAAUGGAAGUUUGUCAUCAAUCACCCACAAGAUCAAAUUAUAGGCAAUCCAUCUAGUGGGGUAAGAACUAGAUCCUCUCUUAGAAAUAUUUGCAAUAAUCUAGCUUUUAUCUCUCAAAUUGAGCCUAAAAAUAUAAAUGAUGUUUUAGAUGAUGAAAAUUGGAUAAUUGCAAUGCAAGAAGAGUUAAAUCCAUUUGAAAGAAGUGGAGUAUGGGAAUUAGUACCAAGACCUUCAAAUCAAAGUGUUAUUGGAACUAGAUGGAUCUUUAGAAAUAAAAUGGAUGAAAAUAGCAUAAUUGUUAGAAAUAAAGCAAGAUUGGUAGCCCAAGGUUUUAAUCAAGAAGAAAUGAUAGAUUAUGAAGAAACCUUUGCCCCCGUAGCUAGGUUGGAAGCCAUUAGGAUGCUACUUGCCUUUGCAUGUUUUAAAGACUUUGUUUUAUAUCAAAUGGAUGUGAAAAGUGCUUUUUUAAAUGGUUUUAUAAAUGAAGAAGUAUAUGUUGAACAACCACCCGGUUUUCAAAGUUUCAACUUUCCUAACCAUGUUUUUAAACUUAAAAAGACACUUUAUGGUUUGAAACAAGCACCUAGAUCAUGGUAUGAAAAAUUGAGUAAAUUUCUUUUGAAAAAAAUGUUUUAAAAUGGGAAAAAUUGACACAACUCUUUUUAUAAAAACCAAAGAAAAUGAUAUGCUCUUAGUUCAAAUAUAUAUUGAUGAUAUCAUUUUUGGUGCUACUAAUGUCUCUCUUUAUGAAGAAUUUUCUAAGUGCAUGCAUAGUGAGUUUGAAAUGAGCAUGAUAGGAGAACUCAACUUCUUCCUUGGACUUCAAAUCAAGCAACUAAAGGAAUGAACCUUCAUCAAUCAAGCAAAGUAUAUAAGAGAUCUUCUCAAAAGGUUCAACAUGGAAGAAGCCAAAACAAUGAAGACUCUAAUGAGCUCAUCCAUUAAGCUUGAUAAGGAUGAGAAAGGUAAAUCCAUUGACUCUAUUAUGUAUAGAGGCAUGAUAGGUUCUUUGCUCUAUUUGACCACUAGUAGACCUUACAUUAUGUAUAGUGUGUGUUUGUGUACUAGAUUUCAAUCUUGUCUUAAAAAAUCUCACUUAAGUGUCGUGAAAAGAAUCCUCAAAUAUUUGAAAGGGACAAUGGACAUAGGCUUAUGGUAUCCUAAGAGUGAUAACUUUGAAUUAAUUGGUUUUUUGGAUGCUGAUUUUGUCAGUUGUAGGGUUGAAAAAUAAAACACUAGUGGCACUUUUCAUUUCUUAAGACACUUACUUGUCUCAUGGCAUAAUAAGAAGCAAAAUUUGGUAGCUUUGUCAACAGCAGAAGCUAAAUACAUAGCAACUGGUUUAUGUUGUGCACAAAUCCUUUGGAUGAAAUAAACACUUAGUGAUUUUGAUUUAUCUUUUGAGCAUAUUCCUAUUAAAUGUGAUAAUAGUAGUGCCAUAAGUAUAUCAAAAAAUCUCGUGCAACACUCUAGGACUAAGCAUAUAGAGAUUAGACAUAAUUUUCUUAGAUAUCAUACACAAAAGGAUGAUAUAACACUUGAAUUUGUAAGCAUAAAAGACCAACUUGCCGAUAUCUUUACAAAACCUCUAAGAACAUUUUGUUGAUAUUAGAGGACAAUUAGGAGUGAUUUCUUUAUGAUCUAAUGUGAUGAAUUCUUGAUGAAUAUACUUUUUGAUUGCAUGAAUUUCAUGUCAUAUAUGCAUCAUAUAGAAAUAUACUUAGAUAAUGGUCAAAUUUCGACCAAAAAUCAAAAUUCCCAUGGCAUUAGGCAUAAAAAUUUUGGAAUUUCAACUGAAAAUGGUAGGAGGAGGAUCACAAAAUGAGAAAGUAUGCAAAAAUUGAAAAAUCAAAACGUUGACCAAGCGGUCAAUCGGACUAGACCGAUCGACUAGUUUGUCGAGAUUUAGGAUUUUUAAGAGACUCCAACGCUUCAAUUUUUGCACCGUUCUCCUCUAUUUCUUCACGGUUUCUCUGAUUUUGUCUUUUAGAGACUAAUUUGAGUGCGUUUUGGAUCAAUUGAAGCAUUUUGGAUUGGAUUUUAGGAAGAUUGAAAGUUAAGGUUUCGGAUUUGGGUCGCCUUCUCUUCCUCUCGCGUGUCACAAUCAGCUUUAGCAUUGUUCUCUUUCCAUUUUCACACACCUAGGGUUUCAGUUGUGAGCAUCUCUCUCUCUUUACCAACCACUACUCCCUUGCUUCUUCCAUAUGGCUCCUAGGCGAGAGUCCGCUACUUCUAGGGCACAAGGCAAGCACCCAACUGAGUCGUCUCAGUCAAAGGCACGUCGAAAAGUGAGAUUUGACAUUGCCUUGUUCAGUUCCAUGGAGGACUACCAACUAUACAAGCAACACUUUGCUUAGAGACGAGUAGUUCCCAAGAGAAAUAUUAAUUUUCCUCAACUUCAGCAUUUCGAAUUUAAGGGUCUAUUUACUAGGAUGGUUGGUUGUCUAUUGUCACAAUUUCGGAGCCGGUUUUCCUGACCUUAGUGCGAGUUUUUUACUCGAGGGCGACUUAUGGCAUGGGUGGCAUGAUCAUUUCUACUGUUGGAGGAGUUGAGAUCUGUCUGGACCCAGAGAGCAUCUGCCAUAUUUUCGAUAUUGCUCUGGUUGGACUCAAAGUAUACAAGUCCAAAAUGUGGCCCAUUGUGCCAGGAUUUGAGCUUAGAGAGGUCAUUCAGAGGAUUUGUGAACUUCCAGACGCCCAGGAGAUGGGCAAACCAUUGCCACACAGUUUGACGGUCAUCAACAGGGUGCUACACCAUAUAUUGUGCUCUAUCUUUCUACCACGAAGUGGACAUUGAGAUGAGGUCUCUUAUUAUGAGGCAUUCCUUAUUGACUCCAUUCUAACGGAGAGACGAAUUCAUCUACUAUGUCAUCAUUCACUAAGCCUCCUCACAGUGACAUACCACCUCAUCAGGCACCUCUUGCUCCUGACCAUGCUCCAUUGAUGGAUUUAUUUACUCAUAUUAGCUCUCUAGGCACUCGCAUGAAGGAGUUUGUUGUAGUUAGUGAUACAUGGUUCUACUCCAUAGAGGAUCGCAUGGAUCAGUAUCAGACUGGCUUCACGUCACAGUUUGAGUAUCUCCAAUAGAGGAUUGAGCAUAUUGAGGAUCACUUGAGCAUGAGAAGAUGAUGGCUUUUCUAUGCUCUGUGUUUCCACCUCCACCUCGUCAACCUUGAUUUCUUAGAGACCCAUUGUUUUCAUUUUGUAAUGUUGCCAAAAGGGGGAGAUAUUUAGGAUCUAGGACUCUAUAGGAGACUUACAUGCAUAUCAUUUUCAUAUCAUUGUUUGGAUCGUACAUAUUGGAUAGUGAUACUUUUUACUUAUAUAUGAUAUGCCUAUAUGUUUCAUGUCUUACAUUGUUUCUUAUUGCAAAUUAUCUCUAACAUGUCUUGAUUAUCUUUUUUUUAACUUCAUAAAUUUUGAUUGUUAACCCAUGAUUGGUUUGAGGGGAAGAUUCUUCUUCUCCUAGAUAACCAAGGUUUGUCAUCAUAAAAAAAUUGGAGAUUGUUAGCCCAAGGGUUCUCCUAAUCAUGUUUUGAUGAUAACAAACCAUGCUUAAGUUACUAAUUGGUUUGAAUUAUAAAGAAUUUCAAGUGUUAAUUUGAAAAUUCAUCAAAGAACCUAAUGGAUGCAAGAUCAAGAUUUUUGGAAGACCUUUAAUCAUAAGAAACAUAUGUAAGAUGAAUGCAUGGGUGCACUUAAGAUUUGCAUAUCAUUUCAUGCAUAUUUGGAAAACACGGUUUAUGCUUUAAAGUUACAUUUCCAUCAAAAUUUGAGAUCCAUCAAAUGAACCUUAGGAAAAAUGUUUUAAAAUUGGCAUAUAAUUUUACCUAAAGACCUUGCCUAAGUGUUAGAAGCAAAAGGACAAAAAAAAUAUAGGUUUUCUGGUCAAAAAUGGUGAACCAGUCAAGGCAUUGUCUAAAUCAGCUCAAUCGGCCAAGGUACCGGUCGAUCGGUUUCCCUUUCCCUGUCGAGAUCUAGUCAAGAGGUACAAAAAUCACAAUCUCUGUCUCUUUCUCUCUUUGUCUAUCUUCCAGUAGUCUUUCCUUCCCGGUCGAGGGAUUUGCCUUCCCGAUUGAGGUCCGAUUGAGAGUAAUAGUCACUUGCCAAAUAUUAAAUGCUCCAACAGUUAGUGAACUGGUCGACCCCCACCUUGCCCAGUUGAGGUUACUUUUUGGUUUUCUUGGCUCCCGAUGUUAGAAACCUAUAAAUAGAGAGUUCCACUUCAUUUAUGAGCAAGAGAACACUUGCAUUUAUUUGUUUACCUACUUGUUCUUGCCUUAAAAGCUCUCAUUUCUUUUCUUGGUGCAUUAAAUCUCCAUUUUGAUAUCCUUUAGUGCACCUUUGUGAUUCAUCUUAGCCUUGAGUUGUAUUUGAGCCCUUUUUUUAGCUAGGUUGAGAGUUUCAUACUUGUUAAUUGAGUGUUAAAGCCUUCAAGUGAGUUGAAACUUGUAGAGAUUAUGUGAGAGUCGAUUGGAGCCGAAAUCCAAGUGUAAAGGUGAUUAGAAGCUUGGUUGAAGCUUCAAGUUAGUGGAAUCCUCACUCAAUUAGGAGCUUGAGGAGAGUGGACGUAGCCAAGGAAGUGUCGAACCACUAUAAAAUUUGAGUUUGAUUUCUCUAACAUUGUCUCUUUAUAUUUGUUUAUCUUGUGCUUAAAUUUAUUGUGUUUAAAAAGAAUUUUUAAAUACCCAAUUCACCCCCCUCUUGGGUGUUUUUCUCUUUUAAAAUUAGCCUUUAUUUUCUCACAAACUAUUGUAGUAUAGUGGUUUUUAGGUGUCAUCCAUUAGGAUGAAUUGUUCUCGGUAAUUAAGGCGUGAAUGAGAGGAGAAUUAAUGAUUGUGAUUAAGUAAAAUUGAUUUGAAAAUUCAUGGUGAAAAAUCAAUUUAACAAUGGUUUCUAAUUGAGAAAAACAAUGAAAUGUGAAAUAAAAUAAAAUUAAUAGGAAAUGAAAUUCUCGAAGUUAGAAUUUUCUAAAAAACAAAUUCCAUGGUGAAUGGAUGUUGAGAUCUAAUUUUCAUCAAGUUAGAUUGAAAACCGAAAUUUUCAUAUAAACUGAUUUUUUAUUUAGUUUUAGGUCUAGAUUUAAUUUCCCUUAAAAUUAGGUUAUUUAAUCCAAGAAAUCAAUUCAAAUCAUAUAUUCAAUUCAUCUUAAAUUAUCUUCCAAUUAUUCACACAAUGCAACUAUUCAAUCUCAUCAAAUCUAGCUUUUAAGAAUUUAAUGAAUCUACCUAGUUUGCAUUGUAAUAGUCAUCCAUGACAAUUUGAAGAGAAAAAUAAUUCAAUUAAUCAAUCACUUGGAUCAAAUUACCUUUGCAAUUAAAGUUCAUUUCUCUAAUUCACCACAGAUUUUGUCUCUAGAUCCUCCUUUCUCAAAGAAAAAUGAGAUUUAGCCACACAUGAUUGGAGAUUUGGUCUCAUAAGGCAUGUUUAGCUAGUGAUAAAAUGAGAGAAAAUAAAGAAAAAUAGAGAAUUCGAUUAAGAAAGAAAAUCUAAAAAAUUCUACAAUUAGAAAUGUCCAAAAAGCUUUUUCAUGAGAAAAUCAAGUUUCUAUUUAUAGGCCAAGGUCAAGUGGACACUUGACAUCAUCUAAGAGGUCUUCCGGAAGCUUCUUCAUCAAGAAAUCUGGAGUUUAAUAAUAAAAUGGUCAUUUCACAAGAGCUCAAACAAUUUCGCAUGAUUAUGUGAAAUAAAAAAUGCAACAACAGCAAUUUACAUCUUCUUGGAGCAUUUCGCAUGACUGUGUGAAAUUUUCACAUGAUCAUGUGGAAUCGACUUGACAACUCUCAUUUAGCCUACAACAUAAUUCCACCUUUUGGUCCAUUUUUCAUAGUCAUGCGAAAUGGAAAUAUUUGAUUUUUAAGUUUUCUUUUGUCAUUUCUUUCAUUUCCUUCUCUUGAUUCCACUUCAACUACCUCCGAAUCCUGGUCCAAACCAAUUGCAUUACUUCUUUCAUUAUGCAUUUGGAUCAUCAUCAACAUUAUUUGUUCUCUUCAAUUUGAUUCAUCUCUUUUGUCACCAAUUUAUCAAAAUCAUACCUUGAAAUGACUCCAAAACUUCAUAAAACUUGUUAGUAACUCUUGCAAGGGCAACAACAUAUUAAUUAAGUGUUUUAGGCAUAGUUACUACUCAAAAGAUGCGAAACUCAUGAUAAUUAUUAUAUAAAAUAUGCUCUUUUUGAGUAGUAAUCAACUUUCUUGCAUAAGCAGACCUUUUAGGGUGGAGUACUAAAGACCAAUAUGCUUGUCCUUGUUGUAAUAAAGAAACUUGCUCUUAUUGAUUGCACCAUGGGAGAAAAUUUUGCUACAUGAGUUAUCAUCAAUUUCUUCCCACCAAUCAUAGAUUUAGACGUGACAAGAGGCCUCUUAAUGGCAAGGAGGAACUGACACUCACACUUAUACAAUUAUCGGGCAUUGAUGUGUUGCAACAAUUAGAAUAACUUACACCAAUUAUGUUGGGGAAGUCACAAAAGGCAAACAUGAAAACUAAAAGGAAAAAAGAAAAAUGUUACAUAUCACCACAACUGGAAAGAAAAAAGUAUUUACUUUCAUUUGCCAUAUUGGAAAGCACUUAUUUUACAUCAUAAUAAUUUAGACAUAAUGCAUAUUGAGAAAAAUGUGUGACAAUAUAAUUGAGACAUUGUUCAGUAUUGACGAAGAAACAAGGACAACCUAAAUAGUCAUCUCGAUUUACAAGCUCUAACUAUUAGAAAUGAGAUUCACCCAAUAGAAAGCAGGACCAAAUUUAUUUUGCUUGCAACAUGCUACUCACUCACCCCAAAUGAGAUUAAGGAAUUUUGCAAGUUUUUGAAAUCAAUAAAGGUCCCCAAUGGCUAUUCUUUCAAUAUCUCUCGUUAUGUGCAACUCAAUGAAAGGAAGAUAUAUGAGCUCAAAUUGUAUGAUUGUCAUGUCCUAAUGCAACAACUUCUCUCACUUGUAGUUCGUGGAGUUCUACAUAAGAAUGUUUGUGGAGUUAUCAUAGAAUUGCGUAAUUUUUUCAAGCAAUUGUGCUCAAAGGUGUUAGAAACAAAUCACUUACACCAACUUGAGAACAAUAUUAUUGUCAUACUAUGUAAAAUGGAGCAAAUAUUUCUUCCAUCAUUCUUUGAUAUUAUGGUGCAUUUACUUGUGCAUCUAGUAAGGCAAAGGUUGCAAGACUUGUGCAAUAUUGUUGGAUGUACCUAAUUGAACGAUAUUGUUAUAAUUUCAUAUGAAUCAUUUAAUUUUAUUUUAUAUUAUGUUCAGUUCAUUAACAUGUACAUUGGUCUACAUAUGGAUGAUGAUAGGUACCUAAGCACUUUAAAGUCAUAUGUGCGUAAUAGAACUUUUCUAGAAGGUUCUAUUGUAGAAAGGUACCUUGCAAAAGAAUGUACAACAUUUUAUUCUAGGUACUUGAAUGAUGUGGAAAUAAAGUAUAAUCACAAUGAUAGAAACUUUGUUGGUUUCAACACUAGAGGAGAUGAAAGGGGUUAUCUUUAAACAUAUUGGACAUGCAUUGGGAAAGCCCAUAUUUCAUUAACUUAGUUCAAAAGAGUGGUCACAAGCACAUUUAUAUGUGUUGACAAAUUGCGAAGAUGUCAUACCAUUCAUUGAGUAAAAAAUUUAUUUGAAUUUUAAUUAAAGCUCUAGUUUAUAUCCUUAAUCAAUGUUUUUUAAAUUCACAAGGAGCACAAGCAAACCAUCAAGGCUAGACCACAUAUACGUGUUUGAGACGUAGAUUUAAUUCAUAACAAGGAAUUUAUCAAGUGGUUUGAAAGACAUGUAAGUAUAUUCCUUAUUAUAAGGGAUUUAUUUCACAUUAUGUUUAUAUUGAAUCCAAACCUAUUAUUGAAUUGUAGGUUGAACAAUUACAUAAUGAAGGUCAUAUAUCUGAACACCUUCUCACAUUAUCAUGUGUUCCAAAUUCAUUAGUUACAUGCUUCAAAUGAUAUAUUGUCAAUGGAUUUAGAUCCCACAUUAAAGAACGUGAUAAAAAAGUUUUUAAAAAAAGACUCAGAAUAAUGGAAUUGUUGUAGUUGCAAAAACGUCAAGCUUUACAAGUGCAUGUGAUAUGAGUCCAAUUAUUAGUGAUGCUCUCUACUAUGGUGUUCUAACUAAAGUUGUUGAGUUACAUUAUCUUGGUGAAAAUAAGGUUGUUUUAUUCGAGUUUGAUUGGUGGGAUGUUACAAAUAUUGGAAAAUUGAUAAAAGAUGAUGAGUACAAUUACACAUUUGUUAACUUUGCAUGAAUUCUAACCACGAACGAACGAUUUGUACUUGCAUCUCCAGCAAAGUAAGUGUUCUAUGUGAAGAAUGCGAAUGAAUCAGAUUGGCAUACUAUCAUGGAGAUGCAACCUCAAGACCUCUAUAAGAUGAACGGGAUAGGAUCCAAUGGUGAUUUUGAACCAUUUCAACAAAGUGAACUACAUGAUCACUAAUAUAUCUCAGAUUUAGUUGAUGAAGAUAUAAUCAAGUGGAACAAAAGUGAUGUUUUAGGACUAAUCAUCCUAAAAAAUAUUGUAGUUUCUUAAAAAAAAAAUGAAAAUGAAGAAGAUAAUUGAACCUUUGUCAUACUUUAAAAAGCAACUAUGCAUUGUUCAUUUUGUAUGUUUUGGUUUUCUUCAUUUAAUUUCCUGAUUUUUGUGAUUCAAUGUCAUAUUAUUGAUCUUGAAAUAUUUUUCUAAUUUUUCAUUCUACGAUGGUUUCAACAAGGAUGACAUCAAGUCAAAAAAGGAAAUGUGGUCCCACACACAAUAUUGCAUUACAGGGAUUAAGGUCAGGGAAGAAGGUAAAAGUUGCAUUUAAUGAGUACAAUCAAUUGGUUAAACAGAAAAAUGGAAAACACUUAUCGAGCUACAUAGGGACACUUGUAUCUAACCAACACAAUGUACCUCUCCAAGCUAGUGAUUGGAAAAAUGUUCCAAAUGAUGCAAAAGAGAAAGUAUGGCCUUUGUUUUGGUAUGUUGUAUUUCUCACUAUAUGAUGUCAUUUCACUGUUAUUCUAUUUUGUGACUAACGUUUGAAUCAUAUGUAAGAAAAAUUUGAAGUAGAUAAAGACUGAAAAGAUUACAUGUUGGGUAUAGCCUCAAAUAAAUAUAGAAGCUAUAAAAAUAUGAUGAAUGCAAAAUACUAUGACCCUUGGCAUAAGGAUGCAUGAGGAGAGGUUAAUACAUAAAUCACCAUUUGUCUCUGAUGUUGAUUGGAAGUGGCUUGUCUCUGAUGCAUAAACCAAAUCCCCCACUGAAUGUUUGAUAUUUGAUAGCAGGAAAAACACACCCGCAGCUAUACACCUCCAUCAUUCAGAUAAUUAUAGUGGGGGAGAUGAUUCAUGGUUGCCCUUAUACCCUUUAUUUGCACCAUCUAUUGAGAUUCUUUAUCAUGGCCAGGUUUUACUGCAGCAAUAAGAUAUGGUGGCAACAAUUUUAUCUAUAGGUGCGGUUCCAGACCGCCUCCAUAGGUGCGGUUCCUGACUGCCUCCAUAGGUGCCUCUUCUUGUAAUGUUUGUUCUGGGAAUUACACUUGAAAGCCUUAUCGUGAUAAGGGAUUACAAACACUAGUUCAGAGGACAGCCAUGUUAAACUUCCACUAUGUUUGUGUCACAUUAUCAGCAGCCUAGUGUUUAUUGGUCAUGCUAUCUGCAACUAAUAUAACCCGGUGAACUUCAAUCUAAAUUCUGAAAGUACUCAUGUGACAGAUGGUGCCUUUCAGCAGAUAUCAUCAAUUUAAAAGUAGUGUGUGUGCCUAUAGGUGGGAAGGCCUUGGCAAAUGUUCAGUAUUCCGGUAAUUCAAGAAGGAUAUAUCUAAAAUAGAUUUUCUUCUUGCCCAUUUCAAUAGUUAAAAUUUGAGAAGAUUGUGUCCACAUCACACAAAUAUUAUUGGUCCUUCUGUUGCAAUUUACCUCUGAACAUGUCUUCCAAUUCCCACGGUCCUGUUACUCCAGGAAAACUAUUUCGGUCAUAUUGAAAAAAAAAAUAUUAAAGAAGGUACACAUGCUUUUAAGUGGACUGGGGCAUUCAUAUCAGGUGGUCUGUAUCCACAUAUGCCACUUCGUGAAAGGUGGAACAGCCUAAUCACUAGGCUAUUUAGUGUGGCCCAGCCACGUUAAUCAAGCACAAGUCUUCAUACUUAAAGUCAAAUGGUGUCUUUAGUCUCAUUACACAUCGCUAUUUGAAGAUUAACUCAUCACUAGUGUAAUGCGAUUAAGACAGUCCUAACUCAAUAUUUGUUCUAGUUUUGGAUGCAAAUGCUUGCUGGUUUCAUCAUUGGAUGGGAUAAAGGUGCAAUCAGGACUAUGAAUACGUGCAGUAAUACUUCAUUCUCUUUUUUCUCAAUGAGACUUCUUGGCACAAUUUUGCUGCUCAGCAACCUACCUUUCCAUGGAAAAUCAGUUGUGACUGAUAGUAAUGGAUAUAUUCUAGAAAGCUAAACAUAGAUAGCAUUCAAUAUUAUCGAUAUAACAUUAACAGCGUAUGUCUCAAUGCUCAUCAGCUACAAGCAAUGGACAAACACUUUGAGUAACUCACAGCAGUCAAAAUUCCUAAACAGGACAGACGUGACAGAUCUAUAUAUAGAACACUGCAUAUGAGUCACAGGAAAAGAUAAUACGGGUACAUAGAAGCUCUUAUUUUACAUAUUACUCAUACUGAUCAAAGUCGCUCAGUUGGGAUGGAUGGGAGAAGGAGGUUUGAGGGGUGGCUUGUGCGGGGAAGUUGGCAGCUUCUUUCCGGGAGCUGGUUGCUUCUUUGCUGGAGUUGAAGGAGGCUUAAUCUUCCGAGGUGGCUUGUAUGAGUCUUCAGCAUUCUCAGCAGGAGGGUGACCAGGGUUGUGACCAUAAUGUGGUGGCUUCUCUCCCUUAGGUGGUUUGCCAACUGGGGUUGGUGGCUUGUUUUCUGGGAGUGGCUUCUCUCCCUUGGGUGGUUUGCCAACUGGGGUUGGUGGCUUGUGUUCUGGGAGUGGCUUCUCCCCCUUGGGAGGUUUUUCGAAUGGGGUGGGUUUGUGUCCUGGUGGUGGCUUCUCUCCCUUGGGAGGUUUACCAAUUGGGGUCGGUGGCUUGUGUUCUGGGAGGGGCUUCUCUCCCUGGGGAGGUUUAGUGGGUGGCUUGUGUUCUGGAGGUGGCUUCUCCACCGGAGGCUUAUGCUCUGGUGGUGGCUUCUCGAAGGGGGGAUGCUCAGGGUAAUCACCAAGUGAGGGGGUGGUGAGAACCACCAUGCCAAGCAACAACACUAGCAAGUAUGUAGUAGACAUCUUUGGGUUUGGACUCAGACAGUGCAAAACUACGAGAAAUCGCUAGCCCUUUAUAGCGGCUCGGACCUAAUACUGACAUAAUAUAAAAUAAAUAUUAUAUUUUAUCAAGAGAGAACAGAGUGUAAUUUUAUCAUUAAUACCGAUCGAGGCCAAAGAAAGAAGACCCAUAAUCCAUUUCCCACAAGCAUACACAAUGCAGCUGUAAUUUUAUCAUUUACUUUUAUCCCUUGGACCACUGCAUUUUUGUUGAGAGACACAAUAACACAUUUUUAUCUGUCAUUCAACAUUUACAGUAAAGAGAGGGCACAAAACGCAAUUAGAUAAAUUAUGUUUUGCCUGCUAAAAAGAGGCAAAUAACUUUAUUUGCAACAUAAUUAUUUUGGUUUCUAGUGACCCCGGGGCCUUUCGGUUGGUUUGGGAUCGGAAAAUGAACAUCAUAGGGGGGGUUGUGCCCUUAUGGGCAUAUAUAUCUGAUAGCUUCAACUGGCCUUGUUCCUAGAAAGAAAUUGCCAAAGAUAUAAACUUAUUCCAGGCUGAAAGUAGAUGAGAGUCAUAAUGAACAUCAACCUUUGUUCAGUUUGAUUCAAUGCCCCCAUAGUGUUCAUUUCACAGAUCUGAAUGAUUAUAUCCGUUGAAUACAUAAAUUAAUGAAGACAAAUAUGAAACCCAAGAUACAUCUCUGCAUAACAACCCCAACCCUGGUUGCUAUGUUUCCCUUCUUCUAUUCACAUGAGGAUACUGGUUAUAAUUGUCAAACUUGCAACAAGCCCUUUGACACCUAACGUCAAUGGACGAAUUAAAAGUCUCCUUCAAACGUCUAUUUCACAGCAUGAAGCUUAUAAAGGAUGCUGACAACCUUCAGAGUUAGCGACAAAAGAUAAUUAUCAAGGAGAGAUAGUUCCAUGAGAAUUCCAAGGAGUCUGAAUCAAAGACAAAUUGCUCACUCAAGGGUUCUUAUUUUCUUUUAGGUACAAAUCUCUUGAGUGUUGUUAAAGAAACACGUCACUGUCAUUUUGAUUUGCAUUUAACAUUUCACUUUUGUUCUGGAAGGUUUGUUCCGGAAACAUAUCAAAUGAGCAUCAUUUUCUUCUUCGGUGACACAUGGUCGCGAGUACGUGGGUCCAUUUUCAUGCCACUUAGUUGAAAAGUUGGAAAGAAAAAACAUGCCAACAAGAAGAUAGUGAGAGAAGGGGCACUUCAAGCCUUUAACAUGAACAAACAGUAAAUAAAAGAUGUUUCUCCACUCAUAAAAGUGUGUUAGAUAGCAAUAUAACGAAUCACAUCCAAAAUCUUUACUAGGCUCAAACAUAAAGAAGACUCAUUUUUAAGAAAAGAUAAAAAUGGCAUUGUCUGAUAGUAUCCAAUACACGAGAUGGCACUUAAUUUGUACAAGAUCUGUCAAUGCUGACGCACAUUUUCUGAUUAAAAAAAAACUGAUCAGUCAAAAGCAAUGAAGAGAAGUGAUGACAAUGAAUGAUGCUUCCAAUAUUUUCACCCCUUAUAGUGUUCUUCAUGAUUCAGAUAUAUAAUUGGAAAUAGAACAACCCUAUGCCAUACAUUCGUCUAAGUAUGGUGUCUAAUUUUUUGUGUCAGCGGUUGCGAAUGGAGCGUGCAAAAGUCCAAAUUGGCGUCUCUCCAUUUCCACAUAGGAAGGUGACCUUUAUUGACAAAUACCCAAUAUUUGUAGACAUUCCUUAAAUAUCAUAACUUCUUGUUGAUUUGAAAAUCAUUUUUCAACUACCAUGUUUUAAUAAAUAUUUUUUAAAAUGUAUUUUUAUCAAAGUCCACCAUGAUGGAUAAUAUUCACCAUGCAAUAAUUAAUAAAGUACAAACUAAGCGAAAUGAAAAGCAUUUUCUUUGCUUUGAGUUGAUUUUGGUUGCAUUGAGUUGAUUUUGGUUUCAUGGUUUUUUCAACUCUUAUUUUGAUUGGAAGAUGUCAAGAAAAGAAAACAUAAAGAAAAAUUAAAAGGGAAAAAAGAAGAAAAAUAAAAAAAAAUAGAUUUAAAAGUUAAUAAAUUAUUUUUUAUAUUUAUUUUAAUUCAUUUCACUUAUUUUUCUUUUACUAUAUAAAAUUUAAAUAAUUUAAAUUUUAUAAUUAAUUUAAUUACAUUUCAUUUUCUUCUAUAUUUAAAUAUUGGAAAAAUAUUUUACUUAAUAUUUUUUUCUUUAAUUUCUUUGGCAUUUUGGGAACCAAACUUAGCCUUUAAAAUAAAAAACAAAAAAAAAAUGAAAAUAAGGAGGGAAAAGUGAGAAAAGAUAAAAACAAUAUGUAAAGGAUUUGAAAAGUAUUAGUUUGUAAUUACUAUUUGGAUUUCAAUAGUAUUUUAUUUGUCUUUCUAUAUUUCAUGUAAGAGAGAAUUUAAGAUAUUCCCCAAGGCAAAGCAUUAGUUACCUGCAAUCAGUGGUGAUAAGGCUCCAAGCCAAUUUUGGGCCCCAUAUCUUAAGACAGUACAAUUUCCAUUUCAACAUUUCUGAUUUCUCAGAUGUUUCACAUACCACAGAAGAACAUUGUUUGUGAAAAUAUGCAUUUAUGUUGGAUUUUGUAUGCUGUGGGGACUGGGGCAAGGAUCAUAUGGAAGAGUGGUUGACUUUUUCUGUACUUUAACGGUUGAAAUAGGAUAAGCACGGGCAUUUGUGAGGCUUAAUUGAUUUUGAAGCCUGAAAUUGCGUUUCUGUCAUUUUGUCAAAAAAAUGGCAGAUUCCAUACUCAUAUGUUUGGCCUGUGGCCAUGUACAGAUGCCAUUUAGUGACCAGUUUGUAACUGUCAAUCGUUGCGUUUUGACUCUGCCUCAACAACAUCUGCCAUUGACGGGUUUUCAUACUUGCAAAUCAAAUAGUCUUUCGUCCCAUCAGGAAUUUCGGUUUAAAUAUUAUUAAGCAUACGUUUGGCUGACAAUCAUUAUCCAGUUCAUGAUUUGGUUUCUUACCCUUAAUCAAUGGUUUCUAAGUGAAUAUAUGUAGAAGGAAAUCCGAAGUGUAGACAGUAGUAUCGAUAACUCUCAAUAUUCUCUAUAUAAUAGAAUAAACAGCGUCAUAGUGAUCGUCGCCUACAAGCAAGGUACAAAUACCAAAACGAGUGACUCACAUAGACAUCUCCCAACAAGAUGUAGUAGUGACUGACACAUGGACACAAUUAACUCGUAGAAAAGGAUAAGACCAUUGCACAGCAGCUCUUAUUUUACAUACUACUUAUGCUAACCAAAGUCAAUUAGUUGGGAUGGGUGGGAGAUGGAGGUUUGUGCGGUGGCUUGUGGGGCGGAGUUGAUGGCUUCUUUCCAGGAGCUUCUGGCUUUUUCAUCGGAGCUGAAGGAGGCUCAAUCUUAUGAGGCGGCUUGUAUGAGUCUUCUUUACUCUCGACAGGAGGGUGGCCAGGGUUGUGAUCAUAAUGUGGUGGCUUCUCUCCCUUAGGUGGCUUGCCAACUGGGGUUGGUGGCUUGUGUUCAGGAAGUGGUUUCUCUCCCAUGGGAGGUUUAGCAAUUGGGGUUGGUGGCUUGUGUUCUGGGAGUGGCUUCUCUCCCUUGGGAGGUUUAGUAGGUGACUUGUGUUCUGGAGGUGGCUUCUCCACCGGAGGCUUGUGCUCCGGUGGUGGCUUCUUGGUUGGAGGGGGCUUGGGGUAAUCAGCAAGAGAUGGGGUGGUGAGAACCACCAGUCCAAGGAACAACACUAGCAAGUAUGUGGGAGACAUUUUUGAGUUUGGGCUGAUCAGAUGAUGCAAAACUAAAGCAUUACGUGACCUUUUAUAGCAUGUAGCUCCCAAUACCCACUAAGUAUUGUGGGGUCCAUUUGUGCCCUACGGGGUUGAAAACUUAGACAAUUGGGCAAGGACCCACCUGACUAUGGAGGACUAGUGAGGUGUGAUCAUAGCUUUAGGAUUUUUCUUCCUCUGCAGCCGUCGUGCCGUUGGCAUGAUUUUCUUAAUCUUAAAUAAAGGCAUAGUUAUAGAGUUGUUUAAUCUCUAAAUGGGAUUUUAUAUAUAUCUUCAGAUAGCCAUUAAUAUAUUUGAUGAAGAAAGAAAGACAAGUGCAUACAACAUGUAUACGACUAGCUUUCAUGGAGUUCAUUUAUGAUCAGUUUUCCUGUACAUGUAAACCAGGAUCAUAUAUAUGUUUCUGUUCCACAACUAUUUUGGAAUCUUGUUUAUCAGUUUUUAUCAUUAUAAUGUCACAUAGGCUGCCAACUUGGGCGCUAAAAGAACCAGUUGGGCUAGUUCGUUUCAGAAUUUCAAUGUGGAUUCAGGAAUUGUUUUGUAAGAUAUGCGAAAUAGUAGAGGGAUGAAUAGUGUUUCAUUAAUAAAAGUGUCCUGUAAAUUAGAAGGUGUCAUAGAAACUAUAAUCAAUAAAUAACUUUUUUUCCCCACGGGUGGUGUUUCUUGUGGGGAUCAGUGACUGGUUUAGGUUCACCCAAAAUGAGUUCAGACUAAAAUUGGUUUGAGUCAAUGCCGUGUCUCUUUUUUCCAGAAAUCAACUAUUUUAUGCAUUGAAUAAAUCAUACAAAGAAAAUAUGAACGCCCGCAAAACCUAAACCCUGGUUGCUAACUUUCUAUGUUUCAGUUCUAUUCACGCAAGAAUAUUAGUUUAAGUUUGGGAAAAAUGGCAACUUACCUAGUGAUUACUUGGUUUUGGUUUGCGACUAUUUACGCAACCAACCAUGAGUUUGACUUUAACGUCAUGGGUUGAAGCCUCCUACAGGAAGGGAGAAAGCUCCACAGCUAGCUCCAAAAGAGAAUUAUCACAUUGAUAGCUCCAGAGAUUCCCAAGGGGACUGAAUCAAAGACAAGUUCCUCACUUUUUCUUCUUUUGAGGCCAAAUAUGAACCAAGGAUCACACAACCUCAUUCAACUUCAUAAGUUUGAUUUCAUGCAGUUGAACACUGGGUGAAGGCCAUGACAAGAAUUGAUUCAAAAAUUCUAUCACUCUUUUAAGUAAUGGAAGAUUAUUAUCUCUGAUUGGCAUCACAACAGCACAUGCUCCUAGAUCUUUCUAGACACUCCAUGCAAUGAAAGCACAAUGGAUCUUGUAACGAUAGAAACUAAGCCAUGCUACAGUACUAGAUGAUGAGGUAAAACUAGUAGACACGGGUGGCAGCCUAUAUGGGAGGGACACAAGUCUAAUUGAUUUGCAUUUCAGCAUUAUAGAUAGGUAUGUUUUGGAAGAUUUGUUCUGGAAAUACCGCACCAAGUAGGAUUCUUUUUCUCUUUAGUGGGUCCACUUGCAUGCCAAUUAACGAGUUGAAAAGUAUGAGCACCUACCUCGUGCUCGUGGAACCGAAGGUCAGUGAAGUGGGGCUCCUUUUGGCCUCGUGUAAACUUGAUUCAGAAGUGAAGUUAAUAGUCUUCCAUUCAGAUGGAUACAUGGGAAUUUUUCUCUUUUAUUUAUUUAUUUAUUUUUUUUUUGUGUGUGUAUGUCAAAGGAUAAUGAAUGAAGCGCGUUAGCUUGUUUUCUGACUGGAACCGCAGAUGUCCAAAUUGGAGUUCCUUCAUUUCUUACUUAGGAUUGUUACAUGUAUAAACAAGGUAUAAGAAAUAUGCCAACGUGUCUUGAGGAGUUAUUGAUUAGAAAUAACAAGUCACCCGACUGUAGAGUUCCAAGAUUUGAAUCUUCAGACCCUAUAGCAGCCUCUGGGGUACGUGGCAUCCUAUAGCAUAUUAAUGAAGGCUUUUUCGAUUUAGACUUCACAAUACCAAUUAAUAUGUAUGCACAAAAUGGAGAUGACCCCAAAAAAAACAGAAUCGCCAUAGUUUAUGAGGUUAAGGUGAUUCUCCACUUAAUAUCUACAUUAGCUAAUUAUGUAAAUCAAAUGAACUUCUAUUUUUCCUUUUUUUUUUUGGUUUAUGUCAAAUAGUAGCCCAUAAUUAACCCAACCAUUAGCCUGUUUGAAUUGAUUUCACAUGCACAAUGUUGUAGUAGUUCAUAUUUUGAAUUUUAUUUUUACAAAGGUAGUUAAGGAAAAUGAAGUAUAAUAAUUAUAAAAGCAGACUAUAUACACUACAAUAAUUGUUAGAAUGGUAUCUCAAAUUCUAAUUUAAAAUAUUAUUUUUUGUAAAAGAAAUAUUAUAUAGAAUAUUUCCUAAUUUUAUAAAUGAUUAUAAUUAGAUCUUUAUAAAAUAAGGAAAGUUGGUAAGAAUAUCUUUAUAAAUAUUUUAGGUCAUGAGAGAAAGAAAUGGGAUAAAAAUGUGAUGAAGAGGUGAAAUAAGAGAGUUGAUUAGGAUAUAGAUGUGAAGAAGAAAGGGAUUCAAUAUAUAUAUAUCUUUCAAUUACCACAUUAAAACCCUGUGAACCUUUUAUAUGGUUUACUUUAUUUUUAUAUUCCUCCUUUAAUAUAUUUACAUUAAUGCUUCCAUUGGCACAACAAUAACGAAUUACAAAUACAAGCAACAAGUCCCAUGUUUUAUUACCAAAAGCAGGUAAAAUCCACCUAAUAUAUUACAAUAUAUUCAUCCAAUAUUUUAGACCAAUUCUUCACCAUAAAUAUCAUAAUGUGGCUUUUGUUCUUUCUUAAAUUUAAAUUGAAUUGUCUUAUAUCAAUUUGUUUGUGAUUUUUUCAUUAACUUCACUUUCAUUUGGUUAUCUUUGGUUUUUGAAAAGUAUUAAGGAAUUAAUUAACAAAAUAAUGUUAAGAAAAAUAAUUUUCUCUCUUUUGAUUUUGAUUUUGUAGUAGAAAAAUAUAAUUAAAAUUAUUUAAAAAGUAUGUAAUUUUAAAUUAUUUAAUAUUUAGAUAAAAAAAAUAAGUCUAAUGAGUUUAAAAUAACAUAUAAAAAUAAUUUAUUUAUUUUAAAUUUAUUUUUUAUUUUCCAUUAUGUUCUCUUUCUCUUUUACUUUUUCAUAUUUUUUCUUACGAAGAAUCAAACACAACCUCAUAUUAUAUGUCAAGUGUUUGUCUAUAUUUGAGCAAUGUUAGAUACGGCCAUGGAUUCAUCAAACUAAACUGAUUUUAAUAGAUACUUCACAAAUUGAUUUAUACACUAAAUCAUUGGAUAGCAAUGAUGCAUUGGAAUUAAACGUAGGAUGAAGCUCGAAGAACACUGUUUGUGUAACAACAUAUUUAUGAAAUUAUGCAAAGGAUGAGCUUCGGGGUAGUAGUACAAGGUCAUUAAUGGAGAGCCGUGUUAAACCUUGAUUGUGAUUGGAUUCCGUUAUCAGCAACAGCAACCUUGUUUGUAACCUUGAAAGUCAUUCUGUCCACAUCGAAACUCCAAUUUGACGUUUGUAAUUACCAUUCCUGGAGUGUUCCUUGAUUGAAAUUUAAAUAAUAAUUGCGGCCCACAAGGAAUAUUUUCGAUUCUGUGGGAAUUUGACAAGGUUUGUUAGAGAAGACUGGUGACAUGUUGACUUCAAUGGUUCAAAUAGGAGACGUAUGUGGAUUUGGGGGGUUUAAUUGAAACUGAGUCCCUAUGGCUUUUUAAUAUUUGCAUUGAGCAGUCUCCAUGUGACUUCCUAAUUCCCACCAACCCUCCUGUCCAUGCUGUGAAACUAAAUUGUAAUUUAUCAGCCUUUGUCAAUGGUUUCUAAAUUAAAGAUAUAGACCAUGCAUGUACUUUAAUAAAAGCAAAUCUAAAGUGUAGAUAGCAGCAAUGGUGACACCCAAUAUUCUCCAUAAAAUAGAAUUAGAAUAAGCAGUGUUACAUUGUUCAUGAUCACCUACAAGCAUACAAGAACUUCCAUGAAUAACUCAUAGCAAUUGCCAACAGGGCGUCGUAGAGACUCAUACAUAGAACACUAUCCACCCAGAGGAAAGGACAAGACCAGUGCGCUGCAGCUCUUAUUUUUCACAUGUAUACCACCACUCGUAAUAACCAAAUUCACUCAGUUGGGAUAGGUGGGAGAUGGUGGUUUGUGGGGUGGCUUGUGGGGAGGAGUUGGAGGAGGCUUUAUUUUCUGAGGCGGCUUGUAUGAGUGUGCAGGAGGAUGCCCGGGAGUGUGACCAUAAUGUGGUGGCUUCUCUCCCGUAGGUGGUUUGCCAAAUGGGCUUGGUGGCUUCUCUCCCUUAGGAGGUUUACCAAUUGGGGUUGGUGGCUUGUGUUCUGGGAGUGGUUUCUCUCCCUUGGUAGGUUUGCCAAUUGGGGUUGGCGGCUUAUGUUCUGGGAGUGGCUUCUCUCCCUUGGGAGGUUUGCUAAUUGGGGUUGGCGGCUUAUGUUCUGGGGGCGGCUUCUCUCCCUUGGGAGGUUUGCCAAUUGGAGUUGGCGGCUUAUGUUCUGGGAGUGGCUUUUCUCCCUUGGGAGGCUUGCCAAUUGGGGUUGGCGGCUUAUGUUCUGGGGGUGGCUUCUCUCCUUUAGGAGGUUUGCCAAUUGGAGUCGGCGGCUUAUGUUCUGGAAGUGGCUUUUUUCCCUUGGGAGGUUUGCCAAUUGGGGUUGGCGGCUUAUGUUCUGGGGGUGGCUUCUCUCCCUUGGGAGGUUUGCCAAUUGGAGUCGGCGGCUUAUGUUCUGGGAGUGGCUUCUCUCCCUUGGGAGGUUUUGUUGGUGGCUUGUGUUCUGGAGAUGGCUUCUCCCCUGGAGGCUUGUGCUCCGGAGGUGGCUUCUGAAAUGGCGGGGGCUUGGGGUAAUGAGCAAGAGAUGGAGUACUGGUGAGAACCACCAUUCCAAGCAACAAUACUAGCAA